UUGAUCGUUAGUGAAUGUGUAAGGAAUAGGUAGUAUUAGUAUUAGUUGAAUAUGUAUGAUUUUAGGUGGUAUAUAUGAUAGGUAUGUUGGUGUAAUGUAAUAUUUUGUAUAAGUUAUGGCAGCGAUUCCCGACUCUUGAGUCACAAAGGGAUAACGGAUGUUUAAAGCAAAGCGUUAUGGUAUGGCAAGUGUUAUGAAUAUGGAUCUAUGUAGGAUUAAUGAAAUAAGUUGGUAUAAAAAUAGUAAUUAUUUAUCUGAAUACUGGUUAGUGUAGUGAACCAAGUUUUCAAAAUCUAAUAUUUUGAAUAUAUGAUUAUUUGAAUAGAAAAUUUCGCGUUAUAUGUCGAACGAAUACGAUAUGGCUUAGAAUGUAAGGUAAUAAAGAAUAAUUUACGAUUAUGCCGCCAAGACGAAAGCAAAACCAAAGGGGCAGAAGAAUCUGUCAACAAAGCUGGAGGACAACCAGACCCGAUACAGAAUUUUGCGAAUAUAAAUGAUCAAGCUAUGCAGAACGGAAUACCAGUAGCGGGAAAUCAGCCAAGCAAUCGAAUGACAAACUUCAAAGAUUUCAAGACAAUCGUAUCGCCAGGAUUUAGAAGAUCAAAUGACCUUGUAGCAACGUUUGUGAUAGCCAGGAUAACGGAGGGGCAAAAGACAACUUUUGCCACCUAUACGAUAAAAGGAAAGGAGUUAAAGGGAAAGUUUGUGUGUUAUAAGUAUGGGCAGAAGGGACAUAUCUCUCCCAACUGUCCCAAUCCAAGAAUGAAUAGUGAAAGUGUUAUGUGUGGAUCAAUGGAGUAUAAGGUGGAAGACUGUCCAAGAAGAAUAAUGGAGGCAUGGAAUGCGAUUACGGGAAAAGGCAGCAGGAUAUUGGCAACAACGGGACCAACAUUAACAAACAAACCAACGAAAUCAACUGCAAGCGUCUUCAACGUGAUUGUUCAAGAUAUCGUAGCAGCCGGGGAUGCAACUCCAGGUAUUACUCGAACCAAUUUUAUUUUCUUAUACAUAUAAUAUAUUAUUUUAUAAAUUAUUUUGAAGGAGGAAAUUGAGUUCUAUUAGAAAUCAAUUUUUCGUAUAAGCAGAUAAACAAGCGUUAUGUGAAUAGUUAAAGAUCGGUUCGAUCAAUUAUGAUCGAGAUCUAAUGAUUGUGUAUGCUAUGUACCCUGGUAUGUAUAGGUUUUAAAACGGUGAUUCCGGGGACGGAAUCUUUAUAAGGGAGGGUGAAUGUAAUAACCCGAUAUUUUCUAUAUAAUUAAAUUAGAAAUUUUGCGUAUAAUUUUUAUUAUUAUUAUUAUUAUUAAUUAUUUAUUUUAAAGGUAAGAAUGAAUGAAAGGUAUUAUGUAUGUAUUUAUGUGAUGAAUAUAAAAUAUAUUUAUUACAUGAAUGAUUACGAAUAAUUUUAUUUUAAAAUUUUUGAUCUCUAUAAAUUAUAUUCUUAGAAUAAUUAAUUUUACAGCAAAAAAAUGUUUUUAAUAUUCAUUUUUCAUGAAAAUAUGUUUAUAUAUUAUUUAAAUAAUAUAUAGAAUAAUUAUAAUAAUUAUGUUUAUUAUAUGAUUUUAUUUCAGGAUAGUUAUGCUAAUUAUUUUAACUUAAUUAUUAAUGUUGUAUAUGGCAGAUAAAUCAGAUAUGGAAUCCAAACCCUAAUUUCGGGGUUUGAUCAAGGAAUGAGAAUAAUAAUAUUAUAUUAUUAUUUAUCAGUGUUAUAGAUACGUAUGGUUAUGUGUGUAAUGUUAAUGUGUGGAACAGUUUUAAUAUAUUACGACCAAACCUUAAUAAAACUAGUCUAAUAAACCCUAAUUCUGGUUCUGGAAUAAGGAAUGGUGAUAAUAAUAUAAUAUUAAUUAUAUUUUGAUUUUUCAGUGCUAUAGAUAUGUACUGUUUGUAUGCGUUGUUAAUAAUUGGUCAAUGAGGGUGCAGUAUUUGAAAACCCUAGUUUUAAGCUGUUAAACCCUAAUUUAAAGCUGAAUGCCGGCUUAAGACUGUUAUGUAAUCAUGUUAAUGUGAUUUAUGAUCAGUGUUAUAUGUAUUAACCCUAAUUAGGGAGAAUCAUAAUUAUUCAAAACCCUUAUCAUUUUUCUAUAUUAUAAACCCUAUUUUUUUCUAAUUAGGGAACCUAAUUCCUAAAUUAAUAACCCUAAUUUGUAAUUGUAAACCCUAAUCGCUAAUUUGGAAAAUGUAAUGUUAAUUAGUGUCUCGUAAACCUAAUUAGAAAGGUGUUAAGUAAAUUAAAAACCUUUAUUUAAUUAAGAAACCAAAAUUUAUUUUAUGAACCCUAAUUAUAAAUUUUUGAAACUAAAAUUUUAUUUUUAUAAACCCUAAAUUUGAUAUCAUGCAAAACCAAUGUGCUAAACCUUAGGGUUAAACCCUAAGGGUUUGACAAGUUAUCAAAAUUACCAUUAAUUUUAAUUGCCAAAUGACAAAAUUGCCCCUUUUGCAUUAUUGAUAGCUAACUUGUAUUUUUGGCCAACACUUUAGUUGGUGACCUAACUCCUACCAACCCUAUGUGCUAUAAAGCUCCAACACUUCAACUCUCCUUAGCCAAAUGCAUUGUAUGCUAGUGUUAUAUUUAUAGAUCUAAGAGAGAGAAAAUGUACAAAACUUGCUCUUUUGCUUGCAAACACUCAACCAUUUUCUCUCCACUCAAACCCAACGAAAUUUUUUUGCUAGACCAGCCCCAAACAAAGCCCCACGAUUAACCACAACAAAUCAGAAACCCUAGAUCAAGAAUUUGUCCAAGAAAGGUAUAAACCUAAACUAAAAUUUUUGAUCUUGUACACUAUGUUAGAUCUUGCGUUUUAAUGUUAAAAGUUGUUGUUUGUAGUCUUUAUAAGUGAUCUGGGUUGGCACAUGUUAGAUCUAUAACAUCAAAGUGCUCGAAUUCUAAGUUUUGCAAAAUCUGGAAAUUUUUAUUUUUGUUGUCUGACAGUGAAUGUCAGAGGCUGUAAAUUUCAUCCUGUUAUCUGUUUUUGUUGUUUGAAUAUUGAUAAUUGUAGUAUGUCAUGUUAUCUUUAAUAUGAAAAAGGAAUCAGAGUCAGAUCUGUUGUAAAUUUGAAGUUAUGAUCGGUCAAAACUCGUUGACCGAGCAUGACCGGUCGAAAUCUGGGUCAACCCAGAAGUGUGAUCAGUGUCUGACAAGCUUUUUGAAUGUCUUGAUCUGUCAAUUGUUUUACUUUUUUGAUGAUGUGUUGUAUCCAACUGGUAUCUUGAUAGUUAUACUAUAGAUUCUGGCCUUUAGAUAUGUUAAAUCAUCAAACGAUUGAAUGUAAUGGAUGGUCAAACUUGACCAUCCGACCAUGACUCGCUAUUCUGGGAAUUUCCAAAACUUCUAGGAGCCAGAUUUCUGACAACAUUUGACCAGAUUAAAUCUAGCUAUUUUAUUGUUGUUUAUAUGAUGUGUUGCUUCGCGUGUGUUCCUUGACACUAGUAGUACAUUUUGGGACCAUAAAACUACGAACACUCUGAUAGGAACCUAGAUUAAUUUGGGCUGAAAUGUAUCUACUCGAACUGCCUGGGUUUCUAGAAAACCCAGGUAACGCCUGUCAGAGACUUUGAAGGGCUAGAUCUUUAUGUUGUAAUGUGUUAUGACUUUUAUGAUGAUUGAUUAGUAUAGUGUUACAUAAGUACUACACGAUCGAGGUUUAAGUUGGCCCAAAACAUGCAUGGAUUAAGAUCUUAAGCUGGUCAUACAAGACAAGUUGUUAGCGAAGCUGUCAGUGUUCUUGAGCUCAAGAACACCAACAGCGACACUUUCUGUCGCUAAAGACAUUUAGCGACGGUUUCUAUUAUUUUUAAUUUCUGUAUUUUUCGAAAAUUGUUUAAAAAUAGAAAUAAAUUAUAAAAAUUAUCAAAAAUUAUUUUAAAAAUUAUUUUAAAUUAUGAAAAAUAACUUUUAAUUAUUUGGGAUAUUUUUCAUUAAUAUUUAUAAUUAUUUGAAUAUUAAUGAUAUUUAAUUUAUUUAAUUAGUGUAUUAAAUAAAUUAGAAAAAAAUGAUUUUAAUUAUAUAAAUCAUUUUAAAUAUGAAUAAAGUGUUUAAAAAUAUUUUUGAGUUAUAUGUAUAACUUUUAAUAUUUUUAUGAUGAAUUUCAUUAAUUAAUUAAUGUUAAUGAUAAUUAAUUUAUUUAAUAAAUGUAUUAAAUAAAUUAUGAAAAAUAGAAUUUAUGAUUUAAAAAUAAUAUAAAAAUGAUUUAAAGGAUUAUAAAAAAUAUUUGAAGUUAUAAAAUAUAACUUUUGAUAUUUUGACAUGAAAAAUAUUAAUGAUAUUAGAUUUAUUUAAUGUUUAUAUUAAAUAAAUUAGUUUAAAAAUAAUUUUAAUAUUAUAAAAAUCAUUUUAAAUGAAAAUAAGGUGUUUAUGAAUAUUUUAAGUUAUAAAAUAUAACUUUUAAUAUUUAAAGGAUAAUUUUAUUAUUAAUUUAAUAUUAAUGAUACUAAGUUUAUUUAAUAAUUAUAUUAAUAAAUAGUUUAAAAAUGGUUUUAUUUAUUUAAAAAUCAUUUAAAAAGGAUAUAAAUGAAUUAAAAAUAUUUUAAGUUAUAAUUAUUGACUUUUAAUAUUUGGAUAAAUAGUUCAUUAAUAUUUUAAUAUUAAUGAUAAUUAUUUAAAAAUGAUUUUAAUUGUUUUAAAAAUCAUUUAAGGGUAACAUAAGUACUUUAAAAGUAUUUUCAGUUAUUAUAAAUAACUUUAAUAUCUUGGAAAUGGUUUCAUUAAUAGGUUGAUAUUAAUUAAAUAUUAAUGAUAAUAGAAUUAUUUGAUAUUUAAAUUAUUUUAUAAUGAUUCCGGUGUUUGAAAAUUAGUGAUAAAAUAUGAUAAUUGUUUGGAUAUGAUUGUAAGUCAUUUAAAAAUGAUACGACUAUUUUUUAAAUAGUCUAAAUAUAUAUUGAACUUCGAUAUAGAGUCUUAGACUCGAUUAUUACCCGAUAAAGCUGUCGGUACGUCGACAGGUUUCAGAAAUUGAUCUGGACUUAGAUAGUUUGAUUGUAUGUGUUUGUUUGUGAUUUAAUGACUGUGAAACGUGUGUGACAAUGUGAUUAGGUUAUGUGCUAACUGCAAUAUGCAGUGCUAUGUGUUAUAGUAUGUGAUUCUAAUCGAUCAAAUGAUCUUAUUAAUGAUUGGUUUCGGUAUAAAAGAUAAAACUAAGUUGCAUAACUGUAAGUAGCAGACCAGGCAAGUAUCUUACCUUUGCAUUUUCUUUAUGCAAUGAACAAGUGUAAGAAUGUUUCAGAAUUAUAUUAUUACUGUACAGAUUGUUAAACCUAUAUUAUAUACGCCUAUUGAUUAUCAACAUGUUAGUAUAUGGUAAUUUAGAUAUAUAUAUUCUGUUCGUUAAUUUCUAUAAAUGAUUAUACAAGUGUCCCCACUUGGAUAAUCAUUGUAUUUAAUCAGAUGUUGAUACACCUUUGAUAUAAAUAUAUGUUGAAUUAUAGAUUAUUGUUGAAUAAGAUAAAACCUUUGGUAUGGAACCCGACAGGUAUAAACAUCCCGUUCACGGGAAAAUUUUUAUGCGCUAAGGCGGACAAAGGAUGAACGAUAAUAUCGUUCUAACAAUGUAGUAUUGAUCAAUACAGGGCCUAUGGGAUGUACACCCUCGUGCCCGUAAGUUAUGUCAGUUUGCGGAUGAAGUUCUGCUAAACCUUUUUGAAAAUGAAAACAAUGUUCAUAAAAUGUCACAUAAACCUUAUAUAUAGGCAAUACGCAGUUUCCAAAAUUUGAACGAGGGUUGUUAAGUUAUUAUUAUUGGUACAGAUUACUUCACAACUAUUGACUUGUUGUAGAAGGGUAUUAUAAAGAAAAUAUUUAAAUUCUUUCAGCUUAUAUAUAUAUAUAAUACUUGUUGGGCACUCAAAUGCUCAUCCUUGCUUAAUUUAAAUGUUUUUAGCUAAACGUGAUCAACCGGAAGGUUUAGGCAAGAACAAGUGAAAAGGAAAGCAAACAGAAUAAGUGUUAAUGGUAUCUGUUGUAAUAGUUAGUCUGUAUUUAGAUAAUGAUAUGUAUUAUAUAUCAUGUAAAGAAGUAUAGUAAAGGUUGCGUACUUGGGAUUAGACUCUGAUAAAUAUAAGUUAAGCUUGAAAUUUAUAUUAAUGUUAUUAUUAUUAGUAAUUAUUCCGCUCAUAGAAAUGGUAUCGUAAAGCACCGAGUUCGGGUUUCAAGUACCUGAAUUUGGGGGCGUUACAAUAUUAAAUCAUUCAUUUAAAUAAGACAGAAAUGGUUAUGGGUUAGUGCUUGGUAAACUUUAUUAGUUAAUUCUUCAUGGGAACGAUACUUUACUUACUCUUUAUUACUUGUUGAUCGUGUAUACUUGCACGCAUAUAUUGAUCGGUAAAAUGACCAACACCAUAUCAAUUUUUUUGUUCUUAUUAUCCUUUAUUUUAGCCUUUCUAUUUACCUUCUUAGAAUCAUUCUUCUUUUCAGAAGAUCCUUUGGCCUUUACUAGUAAGACUUGGUCUUUCUCGGUUGGAAACUGACUCUCAACAUUUUUCAACAUGUUAAUCAAAUUAGCGAAGUUGAUAUCUAGCUUGUUCAUAUGAAAAAUUCACAACAAUUGUGAGAAGGAGUCCAGAGUGAAUGCAAGAUCAUAUCUUGGCUCAUCUCUCAAUCCAUUAUAAAAUAUGUUAUCCUUAUUGUUCAAUCAAAUUGAUCAUGUUAAGAACUUUUGUCUGUACUGUAGUGUCAUCGGUCAUUCUAGAUUGGAAGAGCUCCUUAGAUAUCUGAUAUCUAUCAGUCUUACUUUCCUCAACAUCAACUACUUGAUGUGAAGGAAUAUAGUAGGAGCAUCCAUAGUUUUAUGUUAACGCUGAAGCUCAUUACUCAUGGAUGCGAGUAUGAUGUAUUGAGCCAACUAUGCAUCAUCUUGCCACUUUCUAAAAGUAGCAAUCUCUUCCUCAAAGGCAUUGUCUACAACCAUUACAGGGAUAGGCGUAUUAAGGACAUAAGUUAGCUUUUUAGCUAUAAGAACUAUUCUCAAAUUCCUUAACUAAUCCGUUUAAUUCAGUUUGGUUAAUUUAGCAUCUAAUAUGCUACGCAGUGAUAAUAAUUUUAGACAUUGUAAAAUUAUGUAAAUGAAUUUAUAAUUUAACAACAUUAUAUCAUACAUUCUUUUAUUGAUUACUAAAAUAAUUUAGGUCUUAUUUUAAAUUGGUAUCUCCCACUAUUUUCAUCAAACUAUAUUACCCUCACUUAUAUAGUUCGGCAAAAUCUAAUUAAAGAUUUGCUAGUGAGAAUAAGGAUCCCAUUUCAAAUGUAUAUAGCCUUGUGGUGACAAAAUAAACUAUAUAUAAAUAAAUAGGUAGACAACUCUUGUUAAUUACAUCAUCAUAUAACUCCUUUUAUUUUGCACUACUAGAAAAUCAAGAAAAGGCGAUGCCCUAUAGCGAUAGUUGGGGAAGAAAUGUCGCUAUAGUGUGUCAAUAGCUACGGUCAUGGUGUGAUCGUCGGUAUAGGACUUUAAUGUUAAUUUAUUCCAAGGGUCCUACUCUGGCCGUCGGUACAGAUCAUUUUUUGAGGUAAGUUUGGCGAGUAUAAAUCCCUGAUAACUAGGUUUUAUACCUACUUAUUAGUUACCAACUCACUAGAAUUCUGCUCAACACAAGUAUUUUUGGUAUAUUUUAUUUGCUUUUUGUGUUUGUUUUUUAGUGUGCAUAGUUGGAACUCCUAAAGCAUCAUAAGGCAUGGUAUGUAAUAAAAAUGGAAAUGGCGGGAUAAGGCAUAGUAGACUGGUGAAAAGGUUAAGAUAGCAGCUAGACUUAAGCAGGUGAGAAGGGAACUUAGAGGAUCAAUGAAAUGGUAAACUGAAGAAGAAAAGAAAUGAAGAAGAAGAAAGUAGCAGGAAGCAACAACAGUUUAGAAGCAAACACCAGCAGACAACAAGAAGCAGUAGCGCGGCCGCACUGCAAUAUAGACUAGUCACGGCGCACCCGCGCUAGAUAGAGGAUAGACGCAGGCAAGGCCUCAGCGUGUCCGCGCCCUUGAUACACAGAGACAUGGUGCGCCCGCGCCAAGCACUCGACAGCAAUGCCUAUAGCGCGCCCACGCUCGAAUUACACUAUGAUACUGCGCGGCCACGCCGGUCACAUUUAGUUUAAAAUACUAAAAUUUUAUUUUGAAAUACUGGAGUGUGUUUACUAUCUUGAGACGUAUUUGUUAGUUACCAGAGACGUAUUAAUCAAUUUUUAUUUUACUAUUAUUAGGGUUUGGUUUUUUGUAAUGUCCUCAUAUCUAUACUCCCACGGUAUCUGAUAUGGUGCUUACUACAAGUCAAUAUAUAACAUAUUUAAAUAUAUACACCCAUGUUAUCUAAUUAUAUGCUUAUAUCUAAUUAAGUGACUAUACAAUUUAGAACUAGAUAAAAUUCCCAUAUAUCUAAGAUUCAUAAUAUCCCAUAACAGAUGAUAAUUCUCAAGAGAACUAUUACUGUGUUUAGAUACCCUCACUUGGAUAUAUGAACUGUAUCUGUGAAUAUAACUUAUCUAUCAAAAAUUUAGAGCAUCAGUAAUAACAUGAACAAUCCAUAUUACCAAUACCCUAACCCAGAUGUAUAGUCUAUAUUAUGCGAAUUUACAUUAUCGUAUCGAUAGUAACUAUUUAUCAAAAAUCCAGAGUAUCAAUAAUAACAUGAACAGUCCAUGUUAUCAAUACCCUCACUCAGAUAAAUAGUUCCCAAGGAUCUCAAACUAGAUUGAAGAUUCUAAUUACAUCUAUAUAUGUAAGAAAACACGGUUGCAGAAAUAAACGAUGUUAUAUAUAUAUAUAUAUAUAUACCAUAAUAUUAAGGUUCAAUUACAUGAUUCUUAUAAAGAGUUUCCUAUUACAAAGUAUUACAUUCAACUAGACAAAAAUAUAAGCUAAUCUAAACAGGGACGCUUCCCUUUAUCUAGUUUAGAUGUUCCAGGGUUACCAUCUAAUACUGUAAAGGGAAUAAUUUGCAAGGGUGAGCUAUGAUAUGCUCAGCAGGUUUUAUAUUUAUAAUAAUAUAUGAUUUGAAGAAAUAUAACAAUUAAAAAUUCGACUGAUAAUUGUUACCAUUUUCUGGAUUUCUUUUUCAACCAUUUCUGGACUUUUUAUUUCUGUCAAUCACAUAGACUUAGAAAUUUUGUUUAGAUAUGAGAUAGGGGAUCAACCCACUCAAUAUCCUAGGAGUAUGCAUCUCCUCAUACUAGUGCUCAAGUGUACCCAAAUUAAUGUUAAUAUACUAUUGACCAAACCUCGAUCCCUUAUGGGAUACCCAACUUCAGUAUAGGAUGUCUUACCAAAAGAAUUUUGUUUGACACAACAGUUUAUGCUCAAUAAAUAAUAUCAUAUGAAUAAACAAUUCAUUUUUUAGUUAUGCUGAAGCUAUAGCGAUAACCUUAUAAUAAGAGGUAAUUCAAGUGUAGGUGUAGUAUAUAUAUUAUAUCAACAACAUUUCAAGAUAAAAUCUUGUUUAACAAAUAAACAUGAUUUAGUAAACUUGUGUAAGUAAUUUAGGGUAUAGAAAACUUGGGAAAGUAAUAGUCUGGUUUAGUAAACUUGCCUAAGCGGAGAUCAGUCAAGUAAUGCUACUCGAUUCGUUAAUAAACACCUAAGAUAUUCAUUCAUAUAAAUCUAACACAUUAGUAUUGAUAACAAUACUCAAAUACAACAUUUACAUAUGGUCGGGUUAAGUUUGAUAAGGUUUCGAUGUUCAGUGACCUUACCGAGUAUUAACUAAUAUGAUAAAUAGUUAAAUUCUAUUUAUAAGCUUUAUUAUAUUUUUAGAUAAUUUAAAUAUCCAUUAUAAUAAUUUCUAGAAGCUUAUAAUAAUUUUUAAGUAUUUAUUUAUCCUUUAAAUGAUUUUUAAAUCAUUUAUUUCUAUUUUUUAAAUAAUUAAUAUUUAAUUAAAAUUUUAUAAAAACUUUGUUUACUAUUUUUAAAUAAUUUAUAUCCAUUUAUUAUGAUUUUUAUAUCAUUAAUAUUAUUUUUCAAUAAUUAUUUAUUAUUUAUAAGUAAUUAUUCUAAUUACUUUAUUAUUAACUUAAUUAUUAAUAAUAUCCAAAUAAAAUAAAAUAUUUAUUGAACUUAUGUAAAAAUAUCAAAGUUAAUUAUAAUAACUUAAUAUAAUUUUAAAAACUAUUUUUUGUAUUUAUUUAUUAAUUAUUUCUAAUUUUUAUAAAUUAAUGAGUAAAGUUCGGAUCACCACCUGGGGUUUUAGCGCUUUCCCACUUAACCACCUGUUGUCAGUAAAGUUACAUUUAAAUUUCUGACUUUUUUUGUAGAAUUUUAUGUGUGUCGCUAAAGCUCUAUAGUGACAGGAAGUGUCGCUAUAGGUGUUCUUGAGUUUCUAGGUUUCGGUCAGUCAUGGUCGAGGGACCUCUUUGACAACGAUCUAUCUUGCUACUGUUAAUGAUUCUGGGUUUGGACAAGUAUUGAUGUUAUAAUACUCAUAUAGUAGUACAACAUUAGACAAAGUUUAUGCUUUAACCUACAUAUAACAAGAAGUUAUAGAGGCUCAAAGUCACUGUCAGAGUUGUUCUUGAGUUUCUACGUAACCUAGAACAAUGGUCAUGACCGGUCAACGGUUUUGUGGCUUUCAUAUCUCUGUUUCUGUGUAAUAGAUUUGUGUUGUUUUUGUUGUAAUUGGUAGUUUAUAUGUCAAGGUACAUAUAUACAACACUGGUUUGGACAAAGCAUAACUCUAAGGUCUCGAUCUAUCAUGGUCAAAGUACAGCCGAAGGUUGUUCUUCGUGUUCAUCAAUUUUUUGGGUAACCCAGAAAACUUGGUCAAGCUCGAUCAACAACUUUUGACCAUUAAUUCUAGUAAUCCUAUGAAUUGUUUAAGGAAUUUAAGAUCAUAGAUAUGUAGUAUGUAUGUCAAGGUAUUAAUUCAUUACAAAAAUUCAUUAUAAUAACAACCAGAAAGCGAUUAAAAGGCUAGUCAAAGUAGCCGGCUCAACAUGUUCUUGAGUUUUAUGGGUAACCCAAAAAAUAGAACUUCGUGAUCGGUCAACCACCUUUGACCACUUAUAUCUUGUAAUAUAUGGUUCUAAUGAACCUGUUUUCUUUUCCAGAUUAAAGACCUCAUAUCAGACUACAAAUAACAUACAAUUAACAGACCUAACUAUUAAUAUACGCGAAUCUACAAGCUCUGACAUUCGAGUGUCAGGCUUAUUUUUCCAAAAUUUCUAGAUUACUAAAUACACUUAUUUAAGGCAUCUAGAUGUUAUGAAAACAUGUUCUUGAAAUUAGUAUGCACACAAGCCAAUCAUUUUUGAUGAUAAAGCAUAUACUUUGUAACAAUCGUAUUCAUUUAUUAAUAAAAAAUAUUAAUUUAUUAAAGGCUUUUAAUUAUCUACAUGAUGCUGUUUUAUAAUAUGUGAUAAACCCAUAGUUUUAAGCAAUGCUUUUAGAAUAAUGAUGAUGAUCAUUCUAAUGAGAUCUAAAUUCUUAGAAAGCUUAAAACUAAAAUAGUUCCCAAUCGUUGGAUUACUAAAUUGGGGAUUAGUGAAUCCGGAUAGAUUGGUACAUACGUUGCUUGCUCAUUGGAUGAGGAUGAUUGAUCUCAUGAUCAUUUGUGUGGAGACACUAAAGCAAGUAUGUAGGUGCUUAUUAGAGAAUAAGUUCACUGAACGUGGCUCGCUAAGGAAUACCUAAUGGAGUUUUACUUGCCUGUCAAUAGGAAUUCCUGUAGUGAUAGUAGUACAAGUGAUCCUUGGACUUGAGAUCAUCAUAGUAUCUUGUGUAUGAUGAGUUAUACUUUGACUUAUUCCUUAAGACCCUUAGGGUAUAUCAAAUGGUAUGCUUGGGUAUAAUAAAUUAUACAUGGAGAUAAUGUAUAAUCAAUAAAGAAUCUACCACUUCUAGUAAAAGAAGAGAAAUGUCCUAUGUGAUUCGAUAACUAACAACUCAGUAGUCCUUGGCCAAGGUAGAAUGAAAUUAGAAAGGGGUUUCUAAUUUGCAUUAUUUGGAGUGCAUUUAAGAGUCAAAAUACAUAUAAUUAAAUAAAAUAAGACUUGACAGUAAUUCCAUAUCUUAUAUUUAAUUGGGACAUUGUAUGGUGGAAGGAUUGAAUUGACGGUAACUAUUUACUCAAAGGUUCUUUUAUGAUUAAUGUUGAAAUCUAUAUUAUCUGGAAAGUCGUUAAUCGCUAGGGAGUCUUAUCCCUAUUGUAGAAUAAAUAUUAUUUAAUUAAAUAAAUUAAUAUUUUAAUUUAUUUAUUAAAAUAAGAUUAGAAUUGUUCUAAUUGAUUUAAUCACAACCGGUUUAAUAUGCAGAACCUAAAGGGUCACACCAUAAAAGGAAGAAUAAUUAUUUAAGAAGUUAAUGGCAUAAUCGUAAUAAUAUGUUAAGUGUAUUUAAUUUAAUCUACGGUGAUAGAAUAAAUUAAAUAGCUUAAUAUUUAUUAUUUAAUAUUUUGAAAAUAUUAAAUAUAUAAAUUAAUAAGAUGAGUCUUAUUAAUAUUAUUAUAAUUAUUAUUAUUUUAAUUUCUAAAGAGUUGGAAAUUAAUUUAAUAUUAGUACUCUCAUUUAUUCCUAAUAAGAUUAGGAGGCUAAUUAAUUAAAGGAUUUUAAUUAAUUAAAAUAAAACCCAAUUCCCACAUCUAUAAAUAAGAGGAGUCUUAUUAUGGGUGAUGUGGUUGUUGACUUUUUCACAACAGACGUGACUCCAAUUGUUGGAGAGUACGCAUUUUUUCUAUGAGAGAUAGACAAACUAGGGUUUUGCCAAAAACCCAUCUUCUUGAAUCUUUCUUCUUCCUUGAUGGAUCACCUCUAGAGGCCAAACACUUGGGUGGCUAACGUCGAUCAAAGGAAGGAACCAAACCCGGUGGAUUCAAGUUAAACACAAAAGGAUUUGGAGGUGAACUUGUACCUGAGGAAGCUCGAAUCUUCAAGGGUAUGAUUCUUAUUCUUUAUCUUUUCGUUUAAUUAAUAAUUAUGCAUAAAGGAUGAUCCAGGUAUAUGGUUUGUAAAAUUUUUAAAAUAUGAUUUUCCAUGUUUCCGCUUAAUUUGUGCAAUUUGAUUGCGUCCAAGAAUAUUAUAAACCUAACAGUUCUAUCUGUUGUCGACGUCGGGAUUUUUUUGAUGUCCCUUUUCGUUACUUGUUCUUUGGUGUUAUCAUGUUAAUGCGAGAUUUGUUUGAAAAAACAAGUGAAAAAGGUCUGACAUGUGUAAUGUCGACGAUUGGACUUUAAGAGUCGCCAGUUGAUGUAUUUAACUGGUUGCAGCAACGCAACUGAAAAGGUUUUCACAUUGACCCAAUGAUGUGACACUGCUAAACGGAUCUGUGAAACCGAGAUUCAUAAAGGGUUCGGGGGCUUGGUUAUGCGGAGGGAAGGUGUUAGGCACCCUCCGACAUCGGUGUUGCCACAGUGACCGCCACUUCUCAAAGAAACUGUUAUAUGAAUGUGUGUGUGUGUGGAGCAAUGUGUAAUUAUUUGGAAGUAGUGCUAUGCCUCGUUGCACCUAUAUACAUAGGGUUUGAAUUUUUGUAGAAAAUUCAGUUUUAAGUGUUAUGCCUUGUUUUUUUUUUGUUUUUUUUUUCUAUACAUGCAUGGAAAAUAAAAAGUAUAUUGUGAAGGAAGUGAUACCGUCCCAACAUCUUCUGGAACUCGCAAGUUUAUCCCCUGGAUCUACAUCUUUUUGGCUAGUUGAUGCUUGAUAGUCUAGUCGUCAGCGGCUGUGUUGCCUUCAAGGCUCGCGACAGAGGUUACUUCUUGGUUUUGAAUGUCUUCACUUAUUGCCAUAACUUGAUCUCUUCCUGGUUCAGUACAUUCCUCAGGGAUGCUUGAGCUGGACCUAUCGCAAAAAGGUAUGAACUCUUGAUUCUUUGAUGGGUUGGUUUCCCUGAUAACCUCACCACUUUUUCCUUCAUCUUUUCCUUCAUACUUUUCCUGGGCUUGAGAGGAUUCGACCAUGAAAUCUGCCACGAACUAUCGUCGCAUUUCUUCCAAGGAAUUUUCCCUUUUGGCUUUUCCUUCCUUAGAAAUAAUUAGUAUUUCCUCCUCAUCAUCCAAGGUGAUAAAAUCAUGAACGUGGUUGAUAUUUUUGGACCAUAAGAUGUUUGAUGUUGGCGGAGGAAUAUCCUUUGGGGAUUCCCAUGUCUCCUCUGUCAUUUCUUGCAUUAGGAUCAUUCCAUCUUGUGUUCUGCCAUGAUUGGAGCUUAUGGCCUUUACCUCCUCUGAACUGCCUAUCUCGAAUGGACAUAUUAAGCUUUUAAUUUCCUUUUCGCCUUUUCUGGUCAUGAGGAAUCCUAUCUUCAACUCUUCAUUUUCAAUGAUAUCCUGGAUUUUAUGUCGCAAAGACCAACAUUCCUCAUUCGUAUGUCCAAGUGAGUUAGAAUGGUAGAGACAGGUCUUGGUGGAAUCAUAACACUUUAUCUUGGGAUUUAUAGGAGACAACAACUCAGUAAUCCAUCCUUCGCUUAUAAGAAAGUAUAACACUUCUUCAUUUGAUUUUCUCAAAGGGGUGAAUUUUUGGGCUCUGAUAGACGUUGUUUGUUCUUUCUUCUUUGAGAAUUCACAUUCCCCCGAGCGAUUUUUUCGUUGACGAGAUCUUCUAGCAAUUUUAUCAUCCCCAUUUUCUUGUCCUUCCGAUAGUUGAGUGAAGAACUGCCUCAUAUCUUGAUGUUGUCGCACUAUCAGCUUAGCUAGCAGAUUUACUUGAUUCUGGAUUGUCUCUAAUUUUUGCGUUACUAUGAUACCCUCCUCCGAGUUUUCCCACUUUAGGACAUUUGUUCUGUGCCUUUGGGGGUAGUCCUCUGUCAUUCGUAUGCACUUACGAAUUGGAUAUAUUUCAGCGCUUCCUGACCCUAUCAUGUUUACUUCUUCCGUAUAAUGCUGCAACAGAAGGUUGGUGUUGACAUUUUGUUGGUCAGGUUGUUGGACAACAAUACUGCCACUUUCGAUCAGAUUUUGAAUUUUUUGCUUUAAGGACCAACAAUCUUGUGUAUCAUGUCCUGGAGAUCCUAAGUGGUAAACACAUCUCUAUCUUGGAUUGUAUCUUUUGCUCCCUGGUUCCAGAGGUGGAGCCAGUUCGGUAAUUUGCAUAUGAUCCAUCAAUAUCGCCAACACAUUUUCAAGAGAAUCGCCUAGUGGAGUGAACACCCGAUUUUUCGUUCUCUCAAAUUUUCUUUUCUUGUCUUGGAAUUGGUUAAAUGUUGCCUGUUGUUGAAAUGGAAGAUUGUCUCGCUUUUUCCAAAUAGGGGGACUGUAGGUUGGUCUACUAGAUUGCCCCUAUAAAACAAGGGAUACAUCUUCAGUGUCUUUAUCGGGUACCUCCUUGGGAUCGCUCGCAUACUUGCCAGUCUGUAUAUGCUUGGCAACUGUUUCCAAGGCAGUGAAGUCUUUAAUCUUGCCGGCCUUCAGGCCCAUCUUUGCCAUUUCGCCGUGUUUGAUCAUUUCUGAGAAUGGCUUUCCUAUGCCUACUAGAAUCCUCUCGUAGUAUGGAGCCUCUUGGAUAUCAAUAAACGUCAUUACCAUCUUAGUUUCUGUCAUUGAUGGAAUGACUUGCGCUAUGAGAUAUCUCCACCUUUGGACAUAUUCUCGGAAAGAUUCAGUACUUUGCUUUUUGACUUUAGUCACUUGGUAUCGAUCCAGUGCCAUUUGUGACUGAAACUUGUACUGAUUUAGAAAGGCGCAGGCCAAUUCUUCCCAGUUGUGGAUUUUGGCAUUGUCAAGUCGGGCAUACCAGGCUUUAGCCUCUCCAGUGAGACUCUUUUGAAAAAGUUGCAUUCUAAGGCUUUCAUCUUCAGCAUAAGACCCUAGUUCGCCAAUGUAUACUUUCAGGUGCGUAUAGGGAUCGCCUUUCCCAUUAUACUUUUCAAACUCUAGGACUUUGAGUUUGGUAGGAUAUCGAGCCCCUGGGAAUAUGCAGAGAUCUGAGUAGGCGACACUCCCAUAAUUUCUAGUCCCUUUGAUUGACCGGAUGGUCUCCUCCAUUUGUUAGACCUUCUUUCUUAUAUCCCUAGUUUCUUGAUCAUCCCUGAGAUUUUUGAUUUCUUUAUUGGAAUGAGGUUUAGGUAUCUGGGUUUCCAUCUUUUUACCAAUACCCUGACUGCCCCCUGGUGUGGAUGACUCUAGUUGAGUAGGCAUUGUUUGGCCCGGGAUUCCUCUAUGUGCCGAGGAUUCUAGGUGGAUUGGUAUUUGGUUACCCUGACUGGAUUGUUGUAGUUCUUUGAGCAUAACAGCCAACUCUGUUAUUUGAUAACUUAAUCUUUCGAACUCCUCGUGAGAUACAGGAGUAGGAUCAGGCUGGGUACUUUUAUCCAUAUCUGAUUGUGGACUUAAUGCCCUUUUGGACUUUGAAUGAGAAACAGGAUCAAUUGUUUCCCUACAAAAACUUAUGUAGUUUAGUCUUAAGGAAAUGUAUAAAAAUUUUACAUACUAUCAUAACAUGUCCAUUUUAGGAAUAUUAUCCUGUAAAAUAGGUGUCAUUUGAUAGCAUGUCAAGCCUUAAUAUGCAUUCACAUAUUCUUCAUAUUUUCCAUUACAUUGAGAUUGACAAGUAAUUGAAAUGAGAAAGUAUGAAGAGACUUCCCUUCGCGUUUGGUUUAUCAGAGGCUGACCUAUCUUAGGGUUACUCUCGCAGCUUUUUGGCAUGAAGGUUCCCAGAUCAUCUUAAUCUACUUGACGGGAAGUUAAUCCGGUCGUUCAACUGGAGCGAAUCUGAGUGGUGCCUUUCCUGAGCCCCGGGGAAUUAUUCUUCCCACGAGUUCAGUAAUCAAACACCGACAGGAUAGCCUCCUGGUGGAGGGACCACACAACAUACAUUCACAUACAACGUGUCUCUCCGUUUAUGCAAAAUGAUGACAUGUACGAAGCACUAAUAUCACAGAUAGAUAUUUAGCAGUGCAGUAAUUAAGAUGCAUUCGUACACAUUCAUCAUAAAUGUAAAUGCAACAUUCACACACAGGCAUAUAACAAUUUUGAAAAGCUUGUAAUAGCGGCUUAAGCCCUCUUAUUGGAGUCCCCAGAAAAGUCGCCACUUGUCGACGUCGGGAUUUUUUUGAUGUCCCUUUUCGUUACUUGUUCUUUGGUGUUCUCAUGUUAAUGUGAGAUUUGUUUGAAAAAACAAGUGAAAAAGGUCCGACAUGUGUAAUGUCGACGAUUGGACUUUAAGAGUCGCCAGUUGGUGUAUUUAACUGGUUGCACCAACACAACCGAAAAGGUUUGCACAUUGACCCAAUGACGUGACACUGCUAAACGGGUAUGUGAAACCGAGAUUCAUUAAGGGUUCGGGGGCUUGGUUAUGCGGAGGGAAGGUGUUAAGCACCCUCCAACAUCCGUGUUGCCACGGUGACCGUCACUUCUCAAAGAAACUGUUAUAUGAAUAUGUGUGUGUGUGUGUGUGGAUCAAUGUGCAAUUAUUUGGAAGUAGUGUUAUGCCUCGUUGCACCUAUAUACAUAGGGUUUGAAUUUUUGUAGAAAAUUCAGUUUUAAGCAAGAUAUAGCAAUGAAGUUUUAUAAAGAAGGUUUUUCAAACCCUGUGCUCAAUAGUAAUUGAGGCCUUUGAUACUUCCAUUUUAUUAUUACAGUGUUCAGCUUGUUUGCCUUUAUUUUCGAGAUGCGAAGCAUCUGCGAGAAAAUAAAAUACAGCAGUGCCGAACUCCUUAUGGGCGUGACAGCCAUCCAAGGAAAUUAAGACACUGUAAAUAAUGUACAAGCUACUUAUAGCUGGAAAAAGUCCUUCAUGGGAACCGAAUCUAGAUUCAGUAGACUGAAUCUGUGACCACAUGAUUCUUAGGCUCACAUGAUACUGUAAUUUGUAUGGAAAGCAGUAAGCAGUUAUAUAUAUAUAUAUGUGUGUGUGUGUGUGUGUGUGUGUGUGUGUGUGUGUGCAUGAUCAGCCACCACGAAGCAACUCCAUGGGGAAUCAGAAAUGUAAAUAAAGCAGUAAAUGCUAUUAACCGCCACGGAGUAAACUCCAGGCAUGACUUAAAUGUAAAUAAAGCUGUAAAAGCUAUCAACUGCCACGAAGUAAACUCUAGACAGGACGAAAUGUAAAUAUAUAUAUAUAUAAGCAGUAAAUGCACCGGAUAUAAAAUCCAGGCUCAUCGGAUAUGUCCGACAACAGUUAUAUAUAUAUAAGUAUAUAUAUAUAAAAGAAAUUAAACACACCGAAUGUAAAAUCCAGGCUCAUCAGACAGAGUCUGACCACAGUUUAUAUAUAUAUAUAUAUAUAUAUAUAUAAGCCAAUAAACGCUCCAGACCAGACCGAAGUCUAGGCUCAAUCGAGGCAUAACUCGAUAAUGUUAGUCCGUAUAAAAAUAUAUACAUAUAUAUAUAUAUAUAUAUAAGUAUAUAUAUUCAGGCAAAAAUGAAAACCACGGACCGAAGUCUGGGCAAACACCCACAUACGACUCUCAAUGUGUAGAAUAGUGUGUGCAAAUAUGAAUAAAAAGGCUUUAUAGAGUAUAAGAAGGCUUACAGUGGGCUGUCAAUACAGACUUCUAUGACUCUAUAUGGACAAACACUCAGCUCCCGCGGGUAAAUAUAUAACUGUAUGUGGGAUAACAGGUGUUUAGAAAGAGCAAACACUCAAUAUGGGGGUGUACAAAGCCAAUUGGACAGGGUUCCCUCGCUAUUUCUCUUGCAAAUAUGGCUGGCCCAAGCCCCAUAUAUAUAGAACUGAUGGCCGCAGGUGUACCUAUGGCAGCCUCUGUUACACCUGCGGCUGCCCGAGCUGGCCGGGGUUCCGCGGGUCUCGUCGUCUCGAAGUACAUGCACUCGUGCACUAUAAUGUCUGUUCGAACUUGCAAAACUUCAAUCCGAGCAAACGAAUGAGGUAUAUAUGACCUUCUUCGCACCGCUUAUGUCGAGAGUUACGCAAUGACAUGGAAUUUUCCCUUUUUGAUUCCAAGAAGAUGGGUCCAUAACCGAAAUGGCAUUUCCGGGCUUCCGUUAGGCAGUCCGUUGAGCCGUUUUUCGUAGUUUGCGCUUGGAAGUUAAGAUAUUGUUCUUGUGUGACAUAUUUUGAUGUGAUUCAUAUUGAAAUGAGUGUACUUGAUUUGAAGUGAAGUUGAGUUGGAAAAAUGACCAUUUUUCCCUUCCCGGGGUUAUCUCCGAUUUUCGUACAGUUGUAGCGGGUUUUUCCCAGGGUUAUCUCUGAGAUUGUCAUUUUGUUGACUCUAAAUGUCCUCAGGGUUAUCUCUGAGGUUGGCUUGACCUCCCGGGGUUAACUCCGGGGUCGGGAAAUGAUGUUGUAGUCCUCCAGGGUUACCUCUGGAGUGUGAAAAAGAUGUUUUUGCCCUCUUGCAUAGUUAGUAACAGGAAAAGAAAAUUUCAAGUGUCUAUAUCUGUAAAAACCCAAAAUUCUAAUAAGACUCGUAUGUGUAAAAUCCCAUUAUAUAAAUAAAAUUUCUCCAUUCUGAAUGUGUUAUGUGUUAAUAUAUACUUUGUUUGACAAAUUUGACCAAAUAAAUUUUUGUCCGAAAAACGUCGUGCUUGACACCUCGUGCUUAAAUUUUUUUUUCUUUAAUCGGACUUUUCGGUAAAAUUAUUUUGACAAGUUGCUUUGUCGUGCUUAGACUGACAAAACGCUUUUUCGUUCUUGUUAGGAUUAGUGAGAAAUUUAGGUUAACAAUCAUAGAUUAACAAACCCUAACCCUAAUUAGCAAAACCCUAACCCUAAUUUAUAAACUAAACCCUAAUUAGCUAAUUAAACCCUAAUUAGAUCCUAAUCAUGGUUAGUAAACUUCAAUUAGGUACUAAUUAACAUUACUUAACAUUCCUAAUCAUUAGAAACAAAACCCUAAUCAAAAUUAGUGAAGAUGAAAGCCUAAUUAAGCUACUAAUUAAACCUAACUAGCUCACAAGUAGGUUAGGAGUCACCCAACCAAGUUCCAAGGCUGCUCAUGAGCUGAUAUCAAACCCUAAGCAGCACAAGUAACUUUGCAUCAGAUCUUUAUGGAGGCAAGUUGCUCAAAAAUGACCAAAAAGCCAAGUUGAAGAAUUCUAUAAAUAGGAACCUUAGGGCUGAGCAAACUCACGAAAUUCCUAAGCCUAGAUAUACUUAUACACUUACCAAAUCAAGCCUGGGUGAUAGCAGCAACCAAAUCAGAAGCUAGAAUCGAAAAUCAUUCAAGAAAAGGUACAAACCCUAGUUCAUAAUUAGCUCUUUGAUCCAGAAAACUCAAGAACAGUCGAACCGACUACUUUAACCAACCUGUUUAAUCGUCUUCUGUUUGUUAUUUUUGUACAUUUUUGUUAUAGAUUAAUACCCUGUUAUAUGUACUACAUAUCUAUGAUCUUAAAUUGAACAAACAACGUAUAGGUUUACUGGAAUUAAUGGUCAAAAUCCAUUGACCAAGCAUGACCAAGUUUUCUAGGUUUUCCAGAAAAUUGAAGAACAUGAAGAACAACGUUUGGCUGUACUUCGACCAGCAUAAUUAGAGACCUUAGAGUUAUGCUUUGUUCAUGUUAAUGUUAUAUAUAUGUACCCUGACAUAUAUACUACAUAUUACAACAAACACAACACACGUCGAAUACACAGAAUCAAAGAUAUUUAAGCCACAAAACUGUUGACCGGCCAUGACUGUUGUUCUGGGUUACCCAGAAACUCAAGAACAGUUCUGACAGUGACUUUGAGCCUCUAUAACUUCUUGUUAUAUAUAGGUUAAAGCCUAAAAUUUGUUUCAUGUUAUACUAUGGUAUGAGUACUACAACAUCAACUCUUGAAUAAACCAAAAAUAAUUAUUAGUAACAUUUUAAUUAGUGGUCAAACUGGUCACUCGACCAUGACCAAACUACUGCUCAGAAACUCAAGAACAGCUACAACGACACUUUCUGUCACUGAAGGGCUUUAGCGACAAAUAGAAAUUAUUUUUCUAAAAAUAAAUUAAAAAAAUAAGAAAUAAUUAAUAAAUAAAUAUAAAAAUAGUUUUAAAAAUUAUAUUAAAUAAAUAUAAUUAAUUUCUGAUAUUUUUACAUAAAUUUAAUAAUUAUUUUAUUUUAUUUGGAUAUUAUUAAUAAUUAACUUAUUAAUAAAGAAAUUAGAAUAAUUAUUUAUAAAUACUAGAUAAUUAUGGAAAAAUAUUAUUAUUGAUAUAAAAAUUAUAAUAAAUGAUUAUAAAUUAUUUAAAAUAUAAUAAACAAUGUUUUUAUAAUAUUUUAAGUAAAUAUUAAUUACCUAAAAAUAGAAAUAAAUGAUUUAAAAAUCAUUUAAAGGAUAAAUAAAUGUUUUAAAAUUAUUUUAAACUUCUAAAAUUAUUAUAAUGGAUAUAUAAAUUAUCUAAAAUUAUAAAAAAUAAAAUUUAGUCCAUUUAGCAACUUAUUCAAAUUUCGGUAAAGUAGUAAACACCGAAACCCUAUUGAAUCUAACCCGAUAUUAUAUAAAUGUUAUAUUUAAGUAUUGUUAUCAAUACAAACGUGUUAGAUUUACAUAUAUGAACAUCGUAGGUAUUUAUUAACAAUUGAAUACCAUAACUUGACUGAUCUACACUCAGGCAAGUUUCCUAAACCCUAAACUUAUUUCUUCAUUAUGCAAGUUUCCUAUACCCAAGUUAUUACUUUUGCAAGUUCUCUAUCCUUAAAUCUCUUAUCAAGCAAAUUUCUUAAACCUGUUUACUCGUUGAACAAGAUUUUUAUUGCUGUUGAUAUAAUAUACUACACCUACAAUUGAAUUACCUUUUUAUUGUACAGUUAUUGCUAUAGGUUCAGCAUAACUAAGAAAUAAAUUGUUUAUUCAUAUGAUAUUGUUUAUUGAGCAUAAACUGUUGUGUUAAACCAGAUUGUUUUCGUAAGAUAUCUUAUAUUGAAGUUGGGUAUCCCGUAAGGGAUUGAAAUUUAGUCAAUAGUAUAUUGAUAUUUAGUGUAUUUUGAGCAUUGGUAGGAUGAUAUGCAUACUCCUAAGAUGUUGAAUAGGUUGAUCUCCUAUCUCACAUCUGAACAAAAUUUUUAAGUCUGUGUGACUGACAAAAAUAAUGAAAAAUUCCAGAAAUGGUUGAAAUAGUAACAACUAUCAGUCGAAAUUUGAAUUGUUAUAUUUCUUCAAAUCCUAUUGUAGACGUCGGGAUUUUUGAGUGUCCCUUUUCGUUACUUUUUCUUUGGUGUUCUCAUGUUAAUGUGAGAUUUGUUUGAAAAAACAAGUGAAAAAGGUCCGACAUGUAUAAUGUCGACGAUUGGACUUUAAGAGUCGCCAGUUGGUGUAUUUAACUGGUUGCACCAACGCAACUGAAAAGGCUUGCACAUUGACCCAGUGUUUUGACACUGCUAAACGGGUCAGUGAAACCGAGAUUCAUUUUGGGUCCGGGGGCUUGAUUAUGCGGAGGGAAGGUGUUAGGCACCCCUGACAUCCAUGUUACCACGAUGACCGCCACUUUUCAAAGAAAUUUUUAUAUGAAUGUGUGUAUGUGUGUGUGUGGAUCAAUGUGCAAUUAUUUGAAAGUAAUACGAGGCCUCGUUCGCACCUAUAUACACAAGGUUUGAAUUUUAUAGGAAAAUUCAGUUUUAACAAAGAUAUAGCAAUGAAGUUUUAUAAAAGAGGUUUUUUAAACCCUGUGCUCAAUAGGAAUUGAGACCUUUUUAUACUUUCAUUUUAUUAUUAAAUGUUCGGCUUGUUUGCUUUUAUUUUCAAGAUGCGAAGCAUUCUCGAGAAAAUAAUAUACAACAGUGCCAAACUCCUCAUGGGCAUGACAACCAUCCAAGGAAAUUCAGACACUGUAAUAUAAUGUACAGGCUGCUUACAGCUGAAAAAGGUCCAUCAUGGGAACCGAAUCUAGAUUCAGUAAACUGAACCUGUGAUCACAUGAUUCCUAGGCUCACAUGAUACUGCAAUUUGUAUGGAAAGCAGUAAGCAGUUAUAUAUAUAUAAAAGCUGUAAAUAUAUAUAUANNNNNNNNNNNNNNNNNNNNNNNNNNNNNNNNNNNNNNNNNNNNNNNNNNNNNNNNNNNNNNNNNNNNNNNNNNNNNNNNNNNNNNNNNNNNNNNNNNNNNNNNNNNNNNNNNNNNNNNNNNNNNNNNNNNNNNNNNNNNNNNNNNNNNNNNNNNNNNNNNNNNNNNNNNNNNNNNNNNNNNNNNNNNNNNNNNNNNNNNNNNNNNNNNNNNNNNNNNNNNNNNNNNNNNNNNNNNNNNNNNNNNNNNNNNNNNNNNNNNNNNNNNNNNNNNNNNNNNNNNNNNNNNNNNNNNNNNNNNNNNNNNNNNNNNNNNNNNNNNNNNNNNNNNNNNNNNNNNNNNNNNNNNNNNNNNNNNNNNNNNNNNNNNNNNNNNNNNNNNNNNNNNNNNNNNNNNNNNNNNNNNNNNNNNNNNNNNNNNNNNNNNNNNNNNNNNNNNNNNNNNNNNNNNNNNNNNNNNNNNNNNNNNNNNNNNNNNNNNNNNNNNNNNNNNNNNNNNNNNNNNNNNNNNNNNNNNNNNNNNNNNNNNNNNNNNNNNNNNNNNNNNNNNNNNNNNNNNNNNNNNNNNNNNNNNNNNNNNNNNNNNNNNNNNNNNNNNNNNNNNNNNNNNNNNNNNNNNNNNNNNNNNNNNNNNNNNNNNNNNNNNNNNNNNNNNNNNNNNNNNNNNNNNNNNNNNNNNNNNNNNNNNNNNNNNNNNNNNNNNNNNNNNNNNNNNNNNNNNNNNNNNNNNNNNNNNNNNNNNNNNNNNNNNNNNNNNNNNNNNNNNNNNNNNNNNNNNNNNNNNNNNNNNNNNNNNNNNNNNNNNNNNNNNNNNNNNNNNNNNNNNNNNNNNNNNNNNNNNNNNNNNGAGAGGACCUCGGAAGAGCUUUCUAGAGAGAGAAGCUCUGAGGCUACAUUGAAUUAAGCCUAAAGAAACUCUAACACUUGAGUUUUUUUAAAUUGAAAAUUGAAAAGUAAAUUACUAUUUGAUUCACGCAAAAAUCACUAUUACAUUAAUUGAAGUAAAAGUAAAACGUAAGAAACAUUUUAUAUUUACUUUUACAUGGGUAAAUGUAAGAAACAUUUAACUAAGUUAAAAACAUUUAACUUAAGUAAAAGCAAAAGUUAUUCUUUUACUUUUACUUUUACAUUUACUAAAGUAAAAGAGAUGAUGGCGUGGGCCAUCACCUGUCAGUGACUGAAAACUCCUCUGGCGUCUUCUUGGUUGACUGGUCCGUCUCCUGUGGAUGCCCGAAGGUGCUGUUGAUCAUCUUCACAGAUGAGUCACCAUCCCCAUACAUUUCCACCUUAAAAUUUUUAUCCAGGAAAUAACCCUUUCACCCCCAAAAAUUUGGUUUAUAAAGAAGGAGGAAAAAAAAUUUCUACCGAAAAUUGGUUAAAAUCUUCAAAAUUUCUAAGAUUUUGUAAAAAUUUGUUGUUUAAAAACAAAUCAGACUGAAAUCUGAAACAAAGGAUCACUUGAUUGGUCCUGAUCUAUCAGUGAAAUCGAUCUAAACAGAAGACUUCUUUGUUAACUGUUUAAACAAAAAUUCUUUUUCUUGAAGGUCCACUUAGACUCUAGCCUUACUUGCCUUGAACACAUACCCGUAGAUCUAAAGAUUCCCUUUAGCCUUACACUGCUCCCAAUUGAGACUUACAAACGGCAUUAUUCGGGACUUAAGGCGAUCUUGGGUGGUUUACGGCGAAGGUCGGGCGAUUAAAAGCGGAGCAAGAAAAAUAAAAGUUUGAAAAAACAUUUAAGUAAACAAAUCAAAUUGUUUUCAAUCGAAACCACCGAUAGCAUCAAGAACCAACCGUAUGGGGAUGGUGACUCAUCUGAGAAGAUGAUCAACAGCACCUUCCGACAUCCACAAGAGACGGACCAGUCAAAGAAGAAGACGCCAGAGGCAUCUUCAAGUCAUAGACAGGUGAUGGCCCCAUCCAUCAUCUCAGCUUUUGCUUUCCGUAAAGCAAAAGUCUUUUACUUUAGUAAAUAUAAAAGUAAAAGUAAAAGAAUAACUUUUGCUUUUACUUAAGUUAAAUGUUUUUAACUUUAGUUAAAUGUUUCUUACAUUUACCCAUGUAAAAGUAAAUGUAAAAUGUUUCUUACGUUUUACUUUUACUUUAGUAAAUUACUUUUACUUCAGUUAAUGUAAUAGUGAUUCCUGCGUGAAUCAAAUAGUAAUUUAUAUUUCACUUUUCUAUUUAAAGAAACUCAAGUGUUAGAGUUUCUUUAGGCUUAAUUCAAUGUAGCCUCAGAGCUUCUCUCUCUAGAAAUCUCUUCCGAGGUUCUCUCCGUUCUUUCUAGAGUUAGCCGGAGACGAAGCUUUCAGCUUCGAUCUUCUUAGUUAAAGAUGAAGACGAAGUCCUUAAUACUUCGAUCUUCCCCCUUAAAUAUUUAGUCUAGGAAUUAAUGUAAUCCCUUCCUCAAAUGUUUAUAAAUAAAAGAAAGAGAUUACUUUAUCGAUUCACCAGUCAUCUUCUUAAUCUUUUCUUUUUCUGUUUAAGUUUUUCUUUUAAAAACUUAUCCCGCUGUUAUAUGGUAUCAGAGCCACACGGUUGGUUCUUGAUGCUAUCGGUGGUUUCGAUUGAAAACAGUUUGAUUUGUUUACUUAAAUGUUUUUUCAAACUUUUAUUUUUCUUGCUCCGCUUUUAAUCGCCCGACCUUCGCCAUAAACCACCCAAGAUCGCCUUAAGUCCCGAAUAAUGCCGUUUGUAAGUCUCAAUUGGGAGCAGUGUAAGGCUAAAGGGAAUCUUUAGAUCUACGGGUAUGUGUUCAAGGCAAUUAAGGCUAGAGUCUAACUGGACCUUCAAGAAAAAGAAUUUUUGUUUAAACAGUUAACAAAGAAGUCUUCUAUUUAGAAUGAUUUCAUUGAUAGAUCAGGACCAAUCGAGUGAUCCUUUGUUUCAGAUUUCAAUCUAAUUUGUUUUUAAACAAAUUUUUUUUACAAAAUCUUAAAAAUUUUGAAGAUUUUGACCAAUUUUCGGUAGAAUUUUUUUUCCUCCUUCUUUAUAAACCAAAUUUUUGGGGGUGAAAGGGUUAUUUCCUGGAUAAAAAUUUUAAGGUGGAAAUGUAUGGGGAUGGUGAAUCAUCUGAGAAGAUGAUCAACAGCACCUUCCGGCAUCCUCAGGAGACGGACCAGUCAACGAAGAAGACGCCAGAGGCAUCUUCAAGCCACAGACAGGUGAUGGCCCCAGCCAUCAUCUCAGCUUUUGCUUUUCGUAAAGCAAAAGUCUUUUACUUUAGUAAAUAUAAAAGUAAAAGUAAAAGAAUAACUUUUGCUUUUAUUUAAGUUAAAUGUUUUUAACUUUAGUUAAAUGUUUCUUACAUUUACCCAUGUAAAAGUAAAUGUAAAAUGUUUCUUACGUUUUACUUUUACUUUAGUAAAUUACUUUUACUUCAGUUAAUGUAAUAGUGAUUCCUGCGUGAAUCAAAUAGUAAUUUAUUUUUCAGUUUUCUAUUUAAAGAAACUCAAGUGUUAGAGUUUCUUUAGGCUUAAUUCAAUGUAGCCUCAGAGCUUCUCUAUCUAGAAAGCUCUUCCGAGGGGUCCUCUCCCUUCUCUCUAAGUUAGCCGGAGACGAAGCUUUCAGCUUCGAUCUUCUUAGUUAAAGAUGAAGACGAAGUCCUUAAUACUUCGAUCUUCCCCCUAAAACAUUUAGUCUAGGAAUUAAUGUAAUCCCUUCCUCAAAUGUUUAUAAAUAAAAGAAAGAGAUUACUUUACCGAUUCACCGGUCAUCUUCUUAAUCUUUUCUUUUUCUGUUAAAGUUUUUCUUUUAAAAACUUAUAGUGUGUGCAUGAUCAACCACCACAAAGCAACUCCAUGGGGGAUCUGAAAUGUAAAUAAAGCAGUAAAUGCUAUCAAUUUCCACAAAGUUAACUCCAGGCAGGACAAAAUGUAAAUAAAGCUGUAAAAAGCGAUCAACUACCACGAAGUGAACUCUAGGCAAGACGAAAUGUAAAAAUCUGUAAAAAGCCAUGGAGGAAACUCCAGGCUUGACAAUAAUGUAAAUAUAUAUAUAUAUGUACAAUUAAAUAUAUAUAUAUAUAUAAAAGCAGUAAACGCACCGGAUGUAAAUCAAGGCUAAUCGGAUAUGUCCGACAACAAUUAUAUAUAUAAGUCUAUAUAUAUAUAUAUAAGCAAUUAAACGCACCAGAUAUAAAAUCCAGGCUCAUUAGACAGAGUCUAACCACAGUUUAUAUAUAUAAGUAUAUAUAUAUAUAUAUAUAUAAGAAAUUAAACGAUCCAGACCAAAGUCUAGGCUCAAUCGAGGCAUAACUCGAUAAUGUUAGUCUAUAUAUAUGAAAUAUAUACAUAUAUUAGUAUAUAUAUACAGACAGAAAUGAAAACCACGGACCGAAGUCUGGGCAAAUGCACACAACACGACUCUCAAUGUGUAUAACAGUGUGUGCUAUAUGAGAAGAAGGCUUACAGUAGGCUGCCAAAGUAGACUUCUCUGACUUUAAAUGGAUAAACACUCAGCUCCUGCCAGAUAAAAGAUAGCUAUAUGAGAGCUAACUAGUGUUUAAAGAAGAGGAAACACUCAAAAGAUGUGUAUGCAGAGUAAAAUGGACAGGGCUUGCUCGCCUUUUUCCUUCUCUUCCUCCCUUCAAAUGGCUGACCCCCCAGCCUAUAUUUAUAGACUGAUGGUCACAGGUACACCUGCGGCAGCCGCAGUUGUACCUGCGGUUGGUUGUUGUGGAUCCAAGCCUCGCAGGUCCCGUCGUCUCGUAGUACGUGCAGUCGUGCACUGUAAUGUCCACUCGAACUUGUAGAAAUUCAAUCUGAGCAUCCGAACGAGGUAUAUCUGACCUUUUUCAGACCGCUUGUGUUGAGAGUUACGUAAUGACAUGGAUUAGAGGUUGUACGAAGUUAGGAAGAGGGGUCUAUGCCCAUGAUCUUCAAGCUUCAAAUUCUAUCCAAAGUACUGCCACACGUAAUAGUCACUCGGGAUUGUCAUUCCUUGGUUUUUGUGGGACAUUGUUGGAUGUAUGUAUGAAGUGUUGAGAUGACAUGCCAUUGUUGAAGGAACAAGAUGACACUUGAAUCCUUGCCGGGGUUAUCGCUGGUUUGAGUUAAAAGUAGACGUUGCUCAGGGUUACAGCUGAGAUUGGACUACUUGUUCGUAUGCCGUGAUAUCAUCUUGUUGACAUGGUAAGAUGACAUUGUGACUCCUCACCGGGGUUAUCGCCGGUUUAAGCAGAAAGCAGAUGUUGCUCAGGGUUACAUCUGCGAUUGGACUGCUGCUUGUUUGUAUGUCUCACUGUCAUCUGUGGACGUUCCUGUUUACCUGUUGUUAUCUCUGGGUCUGAGGUGUGUGUGCCUUGACAGAAUGUUGGUGGUUGAAGCUAAUUGCAUAUGUUUAAAACAAGCAUUUCUGGGGUUAUCACCGGAACUGCAAUGGAAUCUCUUGGGGUUAUCACCAAGGAUGGGGUUGCUACUCCCAGUGUUUAUCUGGGACUGGAACUGAGCGUCGUGGUGUAAUCAUCGAGACAGAACUGUCCUCUCCGGUGUUAUUGCCGGUCUUUUGAUCUGAAUAUCUUGGGGUUAUCUCCGAGAUUGGAAAUGACAUUCCCGGUGUGUGUUCCGGGUUGACAUGACGUUCCCGGUUUGUGUUCUGGGUUGGAUCUGAAUAUCCGAUGGUAUCUAAAAUGGAUGUAAUCUGUCUUUCAGGGUUAUCUCCAAAAGAUGCAUCUACCCUCUUAUAAUGUUAGUAAUAGGAGUGCAGAAAAUUUUGAGUGUCUACAGAUGCCCCUCUUUAUCAUAUUUAUGCAAUGCAAGGCAUGGAUAGGAUAAAUAAUCCUAGACACUUAAAAUGCAAGAAAGAUAAACAUGAUGCUAUGUGCAGCAACAUGAUGCAUAUGUAUGAUGCAUGAUUGUCAUGUAAUCCUGCUGGGAUGACAAUCAGUGAUGGCUUGGACAUGCGAUCCAAGUUUCCAAGGAUGUUGAUGUUGGGACUACCACCAAAGUCUUGAAUCCUUGACACUGACUUAUACUCCAUAGAGGUACCUCUUGUGUGACAGAGAUCUGUGGGGAUAAGGCUUUGUCUGUUUGAGGAUGUGUAUAACAUAUUCCCUCAUACUGUCGGAGUUACUGCCAAUAGUUUGUUGUUAUCAGGAUUGCCUGAUCUUCGCUGAUGUGUGUAUCACCGGAUAGAUCCCUGCUGGGCGUAUUGUCAAGGCUGCUUGACCUUCAUUGAUGUAUGUGUCAAUGGUAGCAUUAUGUUGUAACCCUUGCUGGGCAAAGAUGCUUCGAUGGGUUUACUUGCCAUCGGCUGAUAUGACGUCAAGGUUACUUGACCUCCAUUGAUGUGUGUAUCAAUGGUUGCAUUGCGUUGUAACCCCCACCGAGGACACGUAGACAUUUGAAAGAUAUGCGUUGUGACCCCCGCCGGGGAUACGUAGAUGUUUGAAAGAUACGCAUUGUGACCCUCGCCGGGGAUGCGUAGAUGUUGAUAACUUUGGCGUUGUAACCCCCACCAGGGAGGUUUGGAUAUUUCGUGGUUUUUCGCGUUGUAACCCCUGCCGGGGAGGUUUAGGGUUGUGACCCUGCAAAUGACGGCAUCGGACCUUUGUGGGGUAUUGCCGAGCAUGGUUUGUAAAAGCUAAGCUCAUUGGAAUAGUAUACCUUGCAUUCAGGUGAAUACCGUUGAGGCGACGGGAGUUUAACUCUGACUAACAAGAAACCAGGAUUUUAGGCUAAUCCGCUCAACCGCGUAGUGUUUUUAUUCCUGAUUUGGCCUUUUCAGCUUGUGAGACCUCCUUUGAAACUCUAACUGGAGCAAGCCAGAGGUGUGGGACCCAUGUAGGGGGGCCGUAGGUGUACCUUCAGGAGCCGCAGGUUAGCCUGGGGCCAGCCAUGCCUAUGUAUAGUUGGCUGGUUGCUUUCAUAAGUCAUUUUCAAGUUGCACAGCGAAGGAAAUCCGAGAGCUCUUCUUCAGAUCUACUGAGUUCAGGCAACCUUUUGCAUAUUCUGUUACCGUACAAGCCUUCUUCACUACCCUGGUAACACAUGUAUGUAUUUUUUUCCAAUUUUUGUUCAUUGGAAAAUGACUUAUCGCAUGAAAUGCAUUUAGACACAUAGUAGUGAAUAUGCAUGCUGAUAUGACUUAAUAAAAAAUAUUCAACAUAGCAAAUAGCAAAUGUUAGUAUUAAACCAUGCUGAACAUAAUGAUGUGAAAAAAUUUGACUUUUGAAACAGUCAAAUUGGCACCUUUUAUUGUCAUUUCCUAUCCUAUUUAAGGACAAAUGAGUAAAGGUAGACAAGCAAAAUAAUCUUGGUAAUUAGACUAUAUUUACGUGUUUUUUACUGCAAUGUAUUGAUGUAUACAGGAUGUAUAUGACCGUGUAUAGGUGUGCUAUUGAAUGGCCACCUAGUCAUGCCUAUGUGCAUGUGGAUAGUCCCAUUUGCAAAGGGGCUAUGGAUAAAUUUUCCCAAAAUGUAGGUAUUGGGUACUCAUGCAUUUUAACUCUACUGUAGAUGCAUGUUAAAUUGAUGCAUUCAUGCAUGUAAUCAUAGAAUGCAUUUUGAAAAGACUCCAGGUAAGAAAUUACCACACCCUUUUUGAGGUGAUUUGGAAACUUGCUGUCCAGAUAUCAUGGAUCCGGAUCAGUCGAGUAGUUCCCGCAGGACCACUUCUAGUGUGUGGAGGAGGGCUUUUGAAGAGCCUCAACGCCGUUCUAUUAGACAACCUCGUUGCUUGGCGGAGGCGGUGGUACGUCCUAUUCGGGUUGAAGUGCCGAAUGUCGAGGACGAGGAGGAGGAUGCACCGAUCGAGGUUCCUGCUCCUACUGUACGUGUUCCCCAUAGGGAAUUGCCAGGUAUUCAAGUGGCGAACCCAGAUCUUCUAGGUGACUUGAGUAGGCAUCCUUCAGGAUACCUGCACGCAAACGAGGUAUGAAGUUAGAUAUUUAAUCUUCCUUAUUUCCUAUUGAUGAGGAGUCAAGGAGUCUGAUGUUCAUCUGCAUUUGAUGUAGGUUCCCGGCUUCACACAGCCUCGAGGGAACUGGUUUAGCAUCCACUCUAUCUAUCAGGCUUUGCAUGAUGACUACAGAGCGAUCAUCCAUGGCUGGGGAUUCGAGAGGUUCUUCUCCAUUCUACCCCAUCGUUGUCCUUGGGGUUACCUCAGGGCAUUGUCUGAGCGGUGGUUUCACCAGACUCAGUCACUCUAUUUGCUGGACUGCGAGGUGAUUAUGACACCGAUGGAUUGGCGGUUUAUCACAGGUAUGGAGUUUGGAGGGGAGCCGGUGCCUUGCACGGCAGAUAUCACCCCUACUGCCGUCAGAUCCUUGUUGGGAGUUCCGGCGGAGGUGCUCAAGGGCAGGACUGUUCGUACAGGUCCUUUGAGCGUAGAUGCUAUGAGCGGGCUGUUAAGUGAGCCCAUACCCGAUGAUGUGAGAGUCAGGGAUUGCAUUAUUCGGCGAUUAUUCCUGAUGAUCAUUAGGGGAUGCUUCAUAGCAGAUAAUUCCUCUACGGUGUCCUUCGCUUUGAUCAGCGCCACUCGACACGUGAACCGUAUAGGAGAGUAUGAUUGGGGUUCCUACACCUUUGCCUACUUCCUCAGGGGAAUGCGCAUGCGAUCUUAGGGCUUGAUCGAGGCGUGGUUAGGAUUCUACCCAUUUCUGCUGGUGAGUGUUUCUCUUGUCUUUUCCCAUGUAUGGGUUAAGAGUGUUGACUGACAGAAGAUGUUUGCCUUUGUGUUGGCAAUUUUGGGCCUAUGAGAGGCUUCCUUGUUUUCGUCCUGUGAACGUGUUAGGUUUAGACACCUAUCCACGAGGACAGAGAUGGCAUCAUUCUACACUGGUCGAGGUCCCUGUUGCUGAGGGUUUCACUCAUUGUCGCCUACAGCUUGAGCUAUUGACAGCUGAAGUCAUCAUAUGGAUUCCCUACUCUGGAGAGCAUUUGGGAGUUGGAUUUGAGGAUGGGUACCCGACUGGAGUAUAGUAUGUCAUUUCCACCCGCAGGAUUCCUCUCUUUACAGAUGGAGGAUAGGAGCUCUAUUUAGGAGAGCGUGCUAUCAGGAGCACUACAGGAGAGAUCCGUAUGCCGAUCUUGCCUCCUGCCAGGCGUUAUUGGCCUAUUUUGCAGUCACCCGUCAUUGACAUCCCAUUGAUGGGGAUUGACGGCUUUACAUUGUUAGAGGGCCCCUGUUUUCAGGAGAUGUUCCAGCAUUGGUGGAUCCCUCGUACGAUUGGAGCUCAGACCCGCGCCACAUAGUUUAUGGGGGAUAUGGUUCCAGGAUUCGUGAUGAUGAUGGAUUGGCUAGCCUGUGUAAGAGAUUUGACUCAUGUGACAUAGAUUGAUAGACUGACUCAGCAGCUGGACCGAUCACAUCUUUUCAUUCGGCAUUUGGGCAGAGAUCCUGCAGAGGUAGAUACUUUUGAUCCUUCCAGCUCUGGCGCUGAUCCCUCAGGUGACCCAUAUGGUUUUGCCAGCGCAGAUCCUCCUUUGUAUCAGCCUGACAUCCCUGUAGAUAGAGAUCCAGUGACUCAGGAGGAGUUACAUUAGGUGGACAGUAUCGAUGAUGUAGACAUCGACACUCUUGACUUUUACUGAUGUAUUUCUUGCUAUCUCUUUUGAUAGGCCUCUGUUGUAUGUUGGGUAGCUUCGCCCCAUUUCCCUGUAUUUUAGCUGUACAGAGAUGUAUUAGAUGAUGAUAUACUUAGGAAUGUAUGUACAGUUUUCCAUUCCCUAUAUCAUAUUGCCAUCUAUUGUAUCAUGCAUGUUAUUAUGUUAUACAUAUGUAUGUAUGUCUAGAUAUAUUUAGCAUUGACCCCUGGAUGGUCUUAUGACAUGGCCCGUACAGAUGUCUUCUUCGACGGUUAGCCGUAUUGAUCAUACCCCACCAUUUAUGAUGGUAGCUGGUAUCGGUCAUGGUAUGAUAGUAUAUCACCAUCAGACAUGGUGAUCGUAGAUGAUUUGCUGUAGCAUACUAUGACCCUAUUGAUGUUUCAGGUUCUUCCAGGAUUUGUAGAGGGCAUGCUAGAGCACUGGGUAUCGGAGAGACAAGUAUUCUGAUUUGGGACCCAGGAGUUGACUCCAACUUUGGAAGAGCAUGCACGGUUGAUGAUCCUGCCGUUGGACAGACCUUGCGUGCAUAUGACUAUUGGAGACAUGAGCAGACAGUUCAUAACCCUCACCGGAUUGAGACGCAGAGUGGUGCAGGAUGAGAUUACAUCCGGCCAUGUUAUAUCCCAACAUUUCCUGUUUGACAGGUUUGGCUCUGAGGACAGCUAUGCACGAUAUUCCGGGGAUUUUACCACACCAGAGGAUCAUUGGCGUUCGGCCAGAGUAGAUGUAAUGCUUCUAUGCGUAUUGUCAUACGUCUACAUGCCGCGGUACAUGGAUGAGCUAGAUAUCAGCGUCAUUAUGGCAGUGAGAGCUCUUAGGGAGGGUCAUACCAUUGUACCGAUGAUCAUCGUAGAGACCUUGAAGUCAGCUACAUAUUGCUACACUUAUCCAGCAAAAGUAUUCACACGUAGCUCGGUCAUGCUGUACGUGUGGUUUAUGUCACACUUGAGACCGAUUGGCACAUUUAGAUGGCAGGGGUUUUGUUUCACCCAUGAUAUAGCCAUGUCAUACUCCUUUCAGCCUGCGGAGUGUACAGAUGUUGCAUCGUGGUCAGCUUUCCUGGCAGGGAUUAGAGAUCCAUUUGCUAUAUUGCCGUGUUCAGGGCUUAGUUCACCCUACACCUUCAUUACUCAUGCUCCAAACAUGGAUUAUCUCCCUCUGGCUGGAUUGAGGGGCAUGAUCACUUACCACCCACUGGCCGUGAUGUGUCAGUUUGACCAGUUCUAGGAUUUUCACCCGUAUGAGGGGGCAGUGAGUCAGCGCUUCGCGUCACAUCGUUUGUCAGCGGAGGAUAGAUCCAGGUUGUAUGCCUGUUGGGAUCAGCGAGAGCUAGCUGAGUUUUCUGUCAAUCAUCUAGGUUGUUCUACAGAGUAUUCCGCAUGGAUGAAGAGAGAGACUACAUCGGCUGCGGUAGUAUCCACAGUGUAGGGGAUUGAUUCUGAUGAUGAGGAGCCUAUAGAGGAGGCUGUUAUUCCCAUCGAUGAUUUGACUGCUGGGCUGCCAGCAUUUGUGAUGGAUUUUCCCACCCCGAGUGCCAAUGUUACUCAGUAUUCGGCACAAUAUUUGGAGCAGAGCUUACAUCUGAUGACCUAUGAUAGAGAUUAGGCUACGGUCGCGAUGUUGACAGCUCUUGAUGAGAGAGAUACUGCUCUGUUAGAGAGGGAUAAGGCUAGAUCAGCCAGGGAUGUAUUGAUUGGAGAGCGGGAUGCCGCUUUAUCUACUAGGAAUGUGGCCAUUGCAGAUAGCACUUCCAUUAGAUCCCAGAUGACCGUUAGUCUGGCUAACAUGAGUGCUUACAUUGAUGAGCAUUUUGCUACCAUGCAGUUAGCCUCUGAUCUGCUAGCUCGUGUAGAUACCCUUGGGCAGGAGCUUGCAGUUCUUCCUCCUUCUUCAGAGAGGGAUGCUAUGUUAGAUCUGAUAGUCCGCAUACACAUAGAUCUGUAGAUAGCUUUGUAUUUUCCUGCACAGACUAGCUUAGCCAUUUUGUCAUGUACAUCACAGAUGUAUAUAUCAAACAGUAUUAUAUAUGGCAGGGAAAUAUAUUUUGAUUCACUUCCCUUUUAGUUAUGCCUUGAUACUUGCUUGAUGUUUGCCUGUUUCUCCAGGGCCUUGUGAUCUUGAUGCAUUCUGAACUUAUCCUUGAUAGAUGGACAUUGAGACGUCGCAAGGUCUCUCAGAACGGAUCAUUGAUUUCUGUAUAUCCCUACCAUCUUUGGUGUCUUGGGACUGGUAUCUAUAUGGAAAACUAGAGAGGAGGAUGGUUUCUUCCUCUCUAAGAUUGACUACACCACAGAUGGUCGCCAGUACUUCUAUUUGUGAGAAGCCUAGUUAAUUCCAUCUCCUAUGGGUUGGUAUUGCUCUUUGAGGCAUGAUCGCAGCUUAAAUGGUCACCGAAUCUUCUAUUUGUGAGAAGAGGUUGGGUAAUUCCAUCCCUUUGAUUUGAAACUGAUGAAAUGGGGAAAAUUGAUGAUUGAUCUCAGUACCGUGUGAUAAGUAUGUUGUUCUUGUAGGGGUUAGACUGCACCAUGAAUGGCUAACGUACUCCUAUUGAAGAGGAGAUCAAGUCUGCGUAGUUCGAACCUAGUGUAGGAGGUUCAACGCUGAAUGCGGAAGACAGAAGGGUGAAGAAGUAUUUUUGUUGUUUUUUGUUGUUUUGUAGAGAAAGGGUAGAAAUGUUUUUGUUGUUUUCCUUUAUUGCCACCGGGCCAUAUAGUAUAUGGUUGCCUACGUACCCCCGUGUAUCAGGGAGAUCAGGUCGACAUAGUUUGCCCCUCAGGACGAAUUGAAGGCGAAGAAAAGUGUAAAUCCCAUGUGCAGGCUAUACUGCGGGGAGAGGAAAGUUUAAUCCCAUAAUGGGGAUAAACUGCAAGUGUAUAAAAAGUUUGAUCCCAUCCUCAGGACAAACUACAGGCAUAGAAAAGUUUAAUCCCGUCUUCAGGAUAAACUGCAGGUGUGAAAGGUUCAAUCCCAUCUUCAGGAUAACCAAAAUUGUGAAAGGUUAAAUCCCGUCUUCAGGAUAACCGAGAUUGUAUGAAAAUUUUGAAAUGAAGUGAAACCAGGCUGCUGGCUUGAAGUGUAUGUUUCCCUGAGGGGCAGAAAAAUAUGUAGAAAGGGUUCAAAACUGGAAUGACUGGUAAUUUGAGGAUCAAAACCAGGAUGUUUGUUUGAUGGUAACUUCAGACAUAGUACUGUUUCACGGUGUCUAAGUUGAUAAGCUGUGGAAAUUCAUCGCCAUCCAUUUCCUGCAAUCUGAGAGCACCUCCUGUCAAUAUUUCCUUGACAACAAAUGGGCCUUCCCAGUUAGGAGCGAAUUUUCGCUUAGAUUGAUCUUGGUUGUCAAUGAUCUUCUUCAAAACCAAGUCAUGUUGUUUGAAUUACCGUAGUCGGACUUUUUUGUUGUAGGAUCGUGCGAUCCUUUGCUGAUAUAAUUGACCAUGGAAGAUUGUCACGGUUCGCCUUUCGUCUAUCAAAGACAAUUAGUGAUACCUGUCUUGUACCCAUAGGUCUUCAUCCAACUGAGCAUCCAUCAAUACUCUAAGGGAUUCCAUUUCCACUUCUAUGGGGAGCACUGCUUCCAUCCCAUAGACUAAUGAGUAGGGGGUUGCCCCAGUGGAAGUUCGCAUGGAAGUUCUGUAAGCUAAUAAAGUUAGAGGCAAGAGGUCAGGCCAUCCUUUGUGGUUGGCGGACAUUUUCUGCAUGAUCUUUUUGAUGUUUUUAUUAGUCGCUUCAACAGCACCAUUCAUCUUUGGACGGUAGAUAACGGAGUUGAGAUGUUUGGUGUGGAAUUUUCUGCAUAACUCCUCCAUCAUUUUGUUGUUGAGGUUCUUAGCAUUGUCUGACACAAUGACAUCUGGUUGUCCAUAUCGACAGAUGACAUUAUUUCUGAUGAAAGAAAUGAUAACUUCUUUAGUAACUUUGGGGAAGGAAGCUGCUUCCAUCCAUUUGGUGAAGUAGUCGAUCAUGGUGAAUAUGAAUCGAUGUCCAUUACUGGCUUUGGGUUCGAUGGGCCCGAUCACGUCCAUUCCCCACAUUGAGAAGGGCCAUGGCGAACUCAUAUUGUGGAGUUCCCUUGGAGGGGCGUGGAUAGCAUUCCCAUGAAUCACAGUCAGCUUUGAGUGUAAGUCAAUAAUGCCCCGUUCUGAGGAUCUUCUUGACAAGUAGGAUUCCGCUCAUGUGUGGGCCACAUACUCCAGCAUGGAUCUCAUCUAUGAGUCACUGAGCUUAGUCUUCAUCUAGACAUCUAAGGAGACCUAAUCCUGCAUCUCUUUUGUAGAGUGCAUCUCCGCUCAGGUAGAAUUUCAUAGCAAGUCGAUGAAUCCGCCUCUUCUCAGUUAGGCUCGCCUCAGCGGGUGUAGAUCCAUCUCAUAGAUACUCCUUGAUGUGCUGAUACCAAGGGUUGUGGAUGGGAGGUAACUCAUCCGAUACUUCUCCAACGUAAUUCCCAUAGAUCGAGGCUUUUUUGCAGAGCCAACGUGAUGCAUGGCGUGUUUUCCUUGUCCGGUAUGUAAAUCAAGGAGGCCAACGUUGCUAAUCCGUCUGCAAAAUCAUUCCUAUUAUGAGGAAUUUGUAGAAAGGAGAUUUAUUUGAACUCCAAAGCCAUCUGUAGAAUUUGUCGAUGGUAAGGCAACAAAUGUAAUUCUUUGGUUUGAUAGAUUCCUGUGGAUUGCUUUAUUACCAAUUCGGAAUCCCCAAAGACAGUUAACCGCCUGAUGCCCAUUGAAUGGGCAAGUUUUAGCCCCAUGAUACAGCCUUCAUACUCAGCUGUGUUGUUGGUGCUGACAAACUGCAAUUUGACGGCGAUGGGAUACUGCUCCCCUGUACCGGAUAGUAAGAUAGCUCCAGCUCUGGAGCCUUCUGAAUUAACCGCCCCAUCAAAAAACAUUUUCCAUUCACGGAAUGUAUCGUACUAAUGUUGUAACUGAACUGUCAUUACCCCUUCAUUGGGAAAGUACAUUUCUAAGGGUUUGUAAUCCCCUGUAGGUGCGGCGACAAGUUAAUCCGCAAUUCCUUGACCUUUAACAGAUUUUUGCAUCACGUAGACGAUGUCAAAUUGCUGUAGGAUCAAUGGCCAUCUGAACAGUCGACAAUUUAGUAUGGGUUUACUGAAUACAUAUUUGAGAGGAUCCACGCGGGAUAUGAGAUGGGUUGUGUGACCAUGGAGGUAAUGUUGUAACCUUAUGGAAGCCCAUGCUAAAGCACAAGAAGUCUUCUCAAUUAGAGUGUACUUGUGUUCACUGAUGCUGAAUCUUUUGCUGAGGUAAUAGAUAGCUCGUUCUUGGCCUCUAUUGUCUUUCUGCCCCAGCAUGCAACCCAUAGCAUUAUCAUUUAUGGACAGGUACAUGAACAGGGGAACAUCAUCCCUAGGAGGUACCAAAAUAGGAGCAUUAAUCAGUUGCUCUUUAAUGGAAAGGAAGGCUCUCUGACAUUCAUCGUUCCAUUUCAUGGAUGAGUUCUUCCUUAACAAUUUGAAGAUAGGCUCACAUGUUGCUGUGAGUUGAGAAAUGAAUCUGCUAAUGAAGUUGAUCCUUCCCAAAAAUCCCUGUAUUUCCUUAUCUGUCUGAGGAAUGGGCAUUUCCUUGAUGGCCUGGAUUUUGGUAGGAUCCAGUUCAAUCCCUUUGUGGCUGACUAGGAAGCCUAGAAACUUGCCUGACUUAACACCAAAGGCGCACUUGGCGGGAUACAACUUCAAGUUAUACUUACGCAACCUAUUGAAUAGCUUUGUGAGAUGGUCUAAGUGGUCAUCCUCCUUCCGGGAUUUGACAAUGAUGUCAUCCACGUAGAUCUCUAUCUCCUUGUGCAUUAAAUCAUGGAAAAGAGCCAUCAUAGCUCGAUGAUAGGUUGCGCCGACAUUAAUGAGGCCGAAGGACAACCGUCUGUAACAAAAGGUUCCCCAAGGCAUGAUGAAAGCAGUUUUCUCACGAUCUUCCUUAGCGACCAUAAUUUGAUAGUACCCCACAAAGCAAUCAGCAAAGGAGUACAUGCUGUAUUGAGCAGUAUUGUCAAUAAGAAUGUGGAAAAAAGGCACGGGAAAGCUAUAUUUAAGGCAAGCUUUGUUCAAAUCCCUGUAAUCCACGCAGACUCACACCUUUCCCCCUGGUUUAGGCACGGGAACAAUGUUGGAUAUCCACUCUGGAUAUGUAGACACCAUGAUGAUGCCAGCUUGAAAUUGUUUCAAAAUUUCCACUUUGACUUUUAAACUCCACUCAUGUUUUAAUCGCCUGAGUUUUUGCCUAACUGGCUUGAAUCCUUCUUUAAUGGGAAGGCAAUGAAGAAUAAUGUCAGUGGACAAAACCACCAUAUCUUCAUGAGACCAUGCAAACACAUACUUGAAUUGGGUUAAUAGCGCAACCAUGUCAUUCCGCUGAUUUGUGAUAAGGUCUGAACCAAUCUGGAUUAGCUUAGGGUUGUCUAAGGUUCUGAGAUUAAAAGGAGUGGUUUGAUCAAGAUUGGGUUUGGGUUUGUCUGCGACCCAUUCCUUAAUCUCUUGAGGUGUCUCAAUGUCCUCUUGGAUGUCCAUCAAGUUUGAGUCCAACUUUGCAUCAAAGUUACAGCCCUUGUGGAGAGAAGGCAUGUCAUCAGCAAAGAUAGGCACAUCUAAAUUCAGAGUCCUGAAACAAAAGAUGCUUUCACUUAAUAUAUGCAAUUAUUCGAUCAUACAAAAGUGUUAGCAUGUACGUUAUAAAAUAACUGCUAAUGCUGUAAAGGAAAGCAUGCAAUUAAAGUUAUCUACAGGGCAGAGGGAUUUUCUGUCCAUUUUACCAUCAUCGACCAAUACAUGGAGUGCUGCUCCAAUUUUCGAGGGAAAAGUCCUGAAGGACUGCAGUGAUGGAAAGAUCUUCAGUGUCUUCCUUCUCCCGAAUGAUAACCAUGACAUCUGGGCAAUCAUCAUCUAGGGUAUAUCUGUUUGUAUGUUCAUCAUGAACAAUGACACGAAUGCCUGCCAUCAUCAAGGCAAGGUCAUGUUUACGUUUUCGUUCCUUUUCUUCCACUUAUGGAUUAGGAAUCAGAACCUCUUUAGCUUUGAUUGGCACUGGUUUCGGAAAUAGCAUAGCCACAACAUGGGCUGGCACCUUUACUGGAGAUUGCAUUAGCUCAUGAGGUAAAGGCAUAGAAAAUCGUCGUGUGGCGGAAGCUUGAGGAACCUGCUCGUGCUUAUGAGGAUUCCUGUAUCUGGAACUAGAAGAAUAGCCUAGCCCGGCUGUUCCAAUUUGACUGGACAGUUGGAUAGGGUGCUUAAUACCCUGUUGAUCCUUACCAAGCCCUUGUCCAGGUUCAUGACCCAAUAACAUCAUUUCUCGAGUGGCUGACAUAACCUUGGCAGAAAUUUUGGGUACUCCCAUAGAGUGGUAUUGCGUGUUACUCACUUCCACAGUAUGGAAACUGGCAGGUUCAACUUCUGAAUUAAAACUGAUAACUGGUAGAAUUCCUUGUUCAGGACAAUCCGGCUCAGCAUUGACAAUGACUAGACUGUUGUUGAUGAUGUAUUUGAGUUGUUAAUGUAGCGUGGAUGGAACGACCCCAACCAUGUGUUUCCAUGGUCUCCCCAAUAACAGGUUGUAUCCUGAGUCGAUCUUGAGGACGUGGAAAGAUACAUGGAAUGUAUUUGGACCAAUUUUAAUUGGCAAUUCAAUCAUUCCGACGACAUUUCGUCGGGAUCCAUCAAAAGCUCGGAUGACCAUAUGGCUGCUUUGGAUCCGCUUGAGAUUGAUAUUCAUCUUUACCAAGGUGGCAUAAUGAUAGAUAUUUAGAGAUGAGACUCCAUCUAUCAAUACUCCUACUAGUAUGUACCCGGAAGACAACACUGUGAUGUGCAAUGGCUUGCAAUGACCAGUCCCUUUGGGAGGUAUGUCGUCAUCAGUGAAGGAUAUCACAUUAUUGAAAAUGUGAUAACCAAAUGUUGAAAUUUUUCCACAUCCACUGAUUUUGGAAAAUAGGCUUCUUCUAAAACCUUCAGCAAGAUCUUUCGAUGAUCCUCGGAAGAGAAAACCAAAUCCAGUAUCAAAAUCUGGUGUGGAGCUUCUCGCAAGCUUAAAAGCACUUUGGCUUCAGUAUGACCCAUAGUACGAAGGAAUUAAAUUUCAAUCUUCUCCAUGGGAAAUUUCCCCUUUGCUUCGCAAGUAGGUUUAAUAACCCGUUGAUGAAGGUACAGUGGAUUUUCUUUCGACACUGUAGCAAUAGUAUGAGAUGUGGAUCCUUCAGCUUCUCUAUAAUUCUAUGGAACUUUAUGCAAGCUGACAACAGGAUGUUGUGGUCUGCAAGGUAAAGGAAUUGGCUCUGGUGCGGCCACUUUCAAAGGAUUGUCAGCUCCUUUGAGUUGAAUUGGUUGUAUGGGAAAUACUUUGACAGUCUCACCAUCCACUUCGGAGAUAACUGCAACUGAUCCCUUCCAUUGGGUAGGGCAUGCAUUCCCACCCUUGAGUUGUACAGUGUAAUCAUCUGCUAUUUGCAGGACACUGCUAUCAAUAAGAUUUUGAAUAAGAUGGCGGAGUGCCCAACAUUCUUAUGUGUUGUGACCACGAGAAUGUGAAUGAUAUUGACACAUUUCAUCAGAAUUGAACCGCCCUAAGCGGGGAUUGAUUGGAGGGAGAAGGAAUGUGAUUCUUCCUUCAUUGAUCAACAUUUGAAGUAUCUUCUCCAUAGACUGGCCCAGAUAGGUGAAUUCCUUUGAUUGGAAAAAUCCCGACGGACUUUAGCACUUGCUCGCUUUGCAACCUUAUCCUCCAUAGCUUCACUUUUUGAAGGUGUUGAUGGAGCAUUUAUAACAAAUGGAAAGAGAUAAGCAUGCUCCUGCCUAAUUAAUUGGCGUAUGAUUUGAUGCUGGUGGGUCACCAGUUCUGCCAAUUGCUCAAUUUGUUUGCAAAGAGCUUUCAUCUUUCAUUCCAUGGUAAAUUGGAACUUUGCAUAAUCCUAUUUGUCAACACUAUCUUUGAUGGGUUGAGAUGAUUCGCCGUUAGAAUUGGAACCUUGUACAAUGCUCCAACUGAUCAUGUUGACCUCUUCUUCUUUGUGUUGAGGAAGAGGGUUGUCUUGCACAUGAGGUUGAUCUGAUUUGGUGACUACAAUCUCACCGUUGUCUAUCAGAUCCUGAAUCUUAUGUUUCAAGGCCCAACAAUCUUGAGUAUCAUGUCUAGGUGCCCCGGCAUGAUAAGCACACUUCCGAGUAGCAUUAAAACCCCUCCCAUUAGGGUUGGCUGGUGGAAGAAGAUGUGUAAUUUUCUUCUGAGAAGUCAGAAGAGCAAGAAUGUUCUCGAGCGAAUCCACUAAGGGUGUGAACGUUCGAGGUUGCUUUACUUCUCCACUUUUAGGUAAUGGAGGGUUUGAAGGUUGUGCUGGAAAAGGGGAGUAGUUUCUCCUCUGCAUAGGCAUGCUUGGAUUGGCUUUUUGUCCUUGUAGUAUCAAGGAAACAUCCUCCUCUUUCUUUUUAUGGACCCUCCGGGGGUUGUUUCCAUAAGAUCUGGACUGGAUGUGCUCAGCAACAGCUUUAAGAGCGGCUAGGUCUUGAAUUUUACCGGACUUCAAUCCCAUUUCAGCCAUCUCGCCAUGUUUGAUCAUUUCAGAAAAUGGUUUGCCAAUACCAGCUAGAACUCUUUCAUAGAAAGGAGAUUCCUGUACAUCUAUGAAGGUCAUGACCCUUUCUAAUUCUGUCAUGGAAGGAAUAACUUGAGCAGCAAGGCGCAUCCACCUUUGAGCAUACUCUCUAAAUGACUCAUUUGACUAUUUCUUGACCUUGGUGAUUUGGUACCGGUCAGGAGCCAUCUGAGAUUGGAAACUGUAUUGAGUGAGGAAGGCAUGAGCCAGCUCUUCCCAGCUAUGGAUCUUAGAGUUGUCUAAUCUGGUAUACCAUGAACGGGCUUCUCCAGUCAGACUUUUCUAAAAUAGCUGCAUUCUAAGCCUUUCAUUUUCUGCGUAAGACCCAAGUUCUCCAAUAAACACCUUUAAAUGUGUUAAAGGAUCCCCUAAUCUAUCAUAUUUCUCAAAAUCAGGGGUCUUGAAUUUCUUUGGAUAUUGAACACCAGGGAAUAUGCAAAGGUCGGUAUAUAAAACACUGUCAUGUGUUCCAAUCCCUUUGAGAACGCGAAUGGUUUCCUCCAUUUGAAGGACCUUCUUCCUGAUGUCACUCGUGUCUGGAUCUCCUUUGAGAUGGGUUCCUUCAGGGUCUGGGUUGGUUGUAUCCAACUAUUGUUCUGGAAUUGUUUUUUCCAGACCUUGAACUCCCCCUUGUGUAGAGGAUUCUGUAUGUAUAGGUAUCUUCGUACCCUGAGUAGACUGGUGCAAUUCUUUCAGUAGAAUGGCCAAGUCUGUGAUUUGUUUACUCAAUCCGUUAAAUUCUUCUCGAGAAACAGAAUUAGACUGUUUGGAAGAGGACAUGAUUGGUUGUAGGCUCGCAUCCUUUUUGGAUUUUGACCGGGUAAUGGGCCCAAUUGCUUCCCUACAAAAGACUUACGUAGUUUAGUCUUAGGGUAAUAUAAAUGUUUUCAUAACAUGUCCGUUUUAGGAAUUUGUCCUGCAAAACCGGUUGUUAAUUGAUAACAUGUUAUGCAUGCACAGAUAUUCUUCAUAUUUUCCAUUACAUAUGAAUGAACAUGGAAUAAAAUUAUAAGUAAAUGCUUUUACACGUAAUUGAAAAUGGAAAGUAUGAAGAAACUUUCCUCCGCGUUUGGUUUAUCAGAGGUUGACCUGUCCUAGGGUUUCUCUCGCGGCUUUUCAGCAUGAAGGUUCCCAGAUCAUCGCAAUCUACUUGACGGGAAGUUAAUCCGGUCGUUCAACUGGAGCGAAUCUGGGUAGUACUUUUCCUAAGCCCCGGGGAAUUAUUCUUCCCACGAGUCCAGUAAUCAAACACCGACGGGAUAGCCUCCUGGUGGAGGGACCACACAACAUACAUUCAAAUACAACGUGUCUCACCGUUUAUGCAAAAUGAUGACAUGUGCGAAGCAUUAAUAUCACAGAUAGAUAUUUAGCAGUGCAGUAUUAAAAAUGCAUUUGUACACAUUCAUCAUUAAUAUCACACAUAAGCAUAUAACAAUUUUGAAAAGCUUGUAAUAGCGGCUUAAGCCCUCUUACUGGAGUCCCCCUGACAUCCGUGUUACCACGCUGACUGCCACUUUUCAAAAAAAUUGUUAUAUGAAUGUGUGUAUGUGUGUGUGUGCAUCUAUGUGCAAUUAUUUGAAAGUAGUGCGGAGGGAAGGUUUUAGGCACCCCCUGACAUCCGUGUUACAAUGAUGACUGCCACUUUUCAAAGAAAUUGUUAUAUGAAUGUGUGUAUGUGUGUGUGUGGAUCAAUGUGCAAUUAUUUGAAAGUAGUGCGAGGCCUGUAAUAACCCGAUUUUUUUUAUAUAAAUAAAUCAUAAAUUUUGCGUAUAAAUUUUUUUUUAUUUAUUAAAAUAAAUAUGAAUGAUAUGUGUCAAGGUAAUGUGUAAUUAUAAUGAUAUGUGUGAUAAAUAAAAUUUAUUUAUUACAUUAAGUAUUGCAAAUAAAUUUAUUUUUAGAAUUUUUGACUAUUAUCAAUUAUAUUUUUAUACUAACUAAUUCCUUAUUGGGAACGUUUUAUUAAUUAUUUUUCAAGGAAAAUAUAAUCUUAUAUUAUUUAAAUAAUAUAUGAAAUGAUUUUAGAANNNNNNNNNNNNNNNNNNNNNNNNNNNNNNNNNNNNNNNNNNNNNNNNNNNNNNNNNNNNNNNNNNNNNNNNNNNNNNNNNNNNNNNNNNNNNNNNNNNNNNNNUAUAUGAUAUGAUUAUAUAAUUUUUAUAAUACUUAUUUUAUUAUAUGAAAUUAUUUCAGAAUAGUUAAGUUAAUUAUUUUAACUUAAUUAUUAAGGUUAUAUAUGAAAGAUAAAUCAGAUAUGGAAUCCAAACCCUAAAUUCCGGGUUUUGAUCAAGGAAUGAGAAUAAUAAUAUUAUAUUAUUAUUUGUCAGUGUUAUAAUUAUGUAUGCUAUGUGUGUAAGGUUAUUAUGAGGAACGGUUUUGUGGAAACAGUUUUAAUGUUAAUGAUAAACCCUAAUUUUGGUUCUAGGAUAAGGAAUAAUGAUAAUAUUAUAAUAUUAAUUAUAUUAUUAUUUUUCAGUACUACAAGUAUGUACUGUAUAUGUGUUGACUGUUCAGGGUUGUUCAAUUAUGUAACCCUAGCAUUAAAUAGCUUCACCCUAUUUUGUAAUUCGUAUGGGAAAUUCAAGGAUGUGUUGUGCCGGUGUUAUGUGAUUAUGAUGUGUAUUGCGGAAUUUAAGGUUAACUAGGAAAAAAAACCCUAAUUAUACUUUGAAAACCUAAUUAAUUAAGAACCCUAAUUACUAAAUUCGGUAAUCUAAUUUCUGAAUUUAGAAACCUUAAUUAGUAAUUGUAAACCCUAAUUACUAAUCGUAUGCCCUAAUCGUAAAAUUAGAUAUAUUAAUUUUAUUAUUGAAACUCUAAUUUUUAAAGGUUAAAAACCCUAAUUAUUAAAUUAUAAAACCUUAUUAAAUUAAAACCCUAAUUUGCUUUUAGUUAAUACUAAUUGCUAAAUUGAGAAAGGUAAUGUUAAUUAGUGUUUUCUAAACCUAAUUAGCAAGGUGUUAAGUAGAUUCAAAACCUUGAUUAAGAAACCUAAUUAUUUUAUAAACCUUAAUUUUAUAUUUUAGAAACUAAAAUUUUGUUAUUUUAUUUAAACUCUAGAUUGGAAAUUCUUGAAAUUAUUUUUAACAAACCCUAAAAUGGUCCAAACCCUAAACCCUAAAUCAAACCCUAAACCCUAAGGGUUUGCCAAGAUUACAAUUUUGCCAUUUAAAUGAUUUACUAAAUGACAUGUUUGCCCCUAAUUGAAUUAUUUUGGCUAGAAUAGGUUUUGACAUUUAGGGGAAGUUGGUGACCAAACCCAACAACCCCAUGUGAUGAUAAUUGACAGCAACAAGCCACUAGAUCAGCAAUACAUUGCAUCUAAGACAUAUAUAUAUAGAUUAGAGAGAGAAAAGUCUCAUUUAUUUGCCCAUUUUAUCACAAUCUCAUCCUAGACCCUCUCUCUCUAAAAGCCACGAAAAUUUUCAAGUAUUAUUAGUCAAACACAGCCCCACGAAAUUCCUAACAACAGAUCAGGAGCCAAAAAUCAGAAAAUCAAACCAAGAAAGGUAUAAACCCUACCUUUAAAUUUUGUCCAAAAAUUUGUGUUAGAUGUUAGUUUUUGUCGUUAGAAUAUGUUGAAUUUAGUCUAACAUGAUGAUCUGGCUUGGUAUAUUACAAGUCCAUAACAUCUAGAUACGUAAAUCAAUGAUUUUCAAAAAUUUGGGAAUUUUUACCUUUGAGGUCUGACAGUGAAUGUCAGACCAUCUAGAUCCCAGUGUGUUAAUUGAUUUGGUGUUUUAAAGGUUGGAUAUGGUAGUAUGCUAUGUGAUAUUUAGUGUGGAUCGAGAAUCAGGACCAAAUAAUGUACGGAUUGAAAGUUAUACUUGGUCAAAGUCGGUUGACCGACCAUGACCAAGUGAUUUCUGGGUAACCCAGAAAUCCUUUAAUUGUGUCUGACAAGAUUUUUCUGAGGCCAGAUCUUGCUUGUUGUUAAUUGUUUGUUGUUUUUGUUGUGUCUAGAUUAUAGUCUGGUAUAUAAAAUUUAAUUUUAUGCCUUAAAAUCUCCUAAAAAUGUAGUAUGCUGACUUCAAUAAUUGGUCAAAGUAGGCAAGAAAGUCAUGAGGGUUGUUUUCUGGGCAAACCCAGAAAACAUUCAAGCGACUUUCUGACAUAGUUUGACCGGCUUGUAUCGGCUUGAUUAUUUGUUGUUAUUGUUAUGUUUUGUAAUAGAUCGGUAGUGUUUCAUGUGGGCUACAAUCUGGAAGUUAUAGAUCACUAAAUCAUUAAGCGAACAGAUUGUAGUGGAAGCUCAAAGUAGGCAUGUUGCACUGUUCUUCAUUCCUGGGCAAACCCAGAAAUGAAGAACAGCUCUGACGACAACUUUGGACGCUUGGAUCUUUCUUGUUAUGCAUUUUUUGAGCAAGAUUUUUUGUUGGAUAAUGUAGUACUGUUUAAGUACUACAAUAUAUGAUGAUUAGUUUUUCUAGAAACAUUUUGUGUGAUGAAUGAUUGAUGGUCAAACAUGGUCCCUCGAAGCUGGCUAUGAAGUUCUGGGUUUAGCCAAGAACACGAAGAACACCUAUAGCGACGGUUCUGUCGCUAUAGGCAGUCUUUAGCGACACUUUUAAUAAAAUUAAUUAUUUUAAUUUCAAAAAUUAUUUAAAAAUAGUAUUUAAUUUCCAAAAAUUAGAAAAAUUAUUUUAAAAAUUAUUUUUAAAUUAUAAAAAUUAAAUAUUAAUAAUUUGAAAUAUUUUUCAUAAAAAUUGGUAUUUAUUUAAAUAUUAUGGAUAAUUAAUUAAUUUAUUAAAUGCAUUAAAUAAAUAAAUUAAAAAUGAUUUUAUUAUAUUAAAAAUCAUUUUAAAUGAUAAUAAGUUAGUUAAAAAUAUUUUAAGUUAUAAAAUAUAACUUUUAAUAUUUUAAAGCAAAUUUCAUUAAUUAUUUAAUAUUAAUGAAUAUUAAGUUAUUUACAAAAUGAAUUAAAUAAAUUAAUUAAAAAUGAUUUUAUUAUAUUAAAAAUCAUUUUAAAUAAUAAUAAGGUGUUUAAAAAUAUUUUAAGUUAUAAAAUAUAACUUUUAAUAUUUAAAGGUAAAUUUCAUUAAUUAAUUAUUAUUAAUGAUAUUAAAGUUAUUUAAUAAUUAUAUUAAAUAAUUUAGUUUAAAAAUGAUUUUAAUAUUAUAAUAAUCAUUUUAAAUGAAAAUAAAGUGUUUAAAGAUAUUUUAAGUUAUAAAAUAUAACUUUUAAUAUUUAAAGGAUAAUUUCAUUAAUAAAUUAAUAUUAAUGAUAUUUAUUUAAUGAUUAAUGAUAUUAAAUUUAUUUAAUAAUUAUAUUAAAUAAAUAGUUUUAAAAUGGUUUUAUUAAUUUAAAAAUCAUUUAAAAGGGAUAAAAAUGAAUUAAAAAUAUUUUAAGUUAUAAUUAAUGACUUUUAAUAUUUGGAUAAAUAGUUCAUUAAUAUUUAAAUAUUAAUGGUAAUUAUUUAAUAAUAAUUUUAAAUGUUUUAAAAAUCAUUUAAGGGUAAUAUAAAUACUUUAAAAAUAUUUUCAGUUAUUAUAAAUAACUUUAAUAUUUUGGCAAUGGUUUCAUUAAUAGUUUAAUAUUAAUUAAAUAUUAAUGAUAAUAGAAUUAUUUGAUAUUUAAAUCAUUUUAUAAUGAUUCCGGUGUUUGAAAAUUUGUGAUAAAUUAUGAUAAAUGAUAAUAAUUAUUUAAAAAUUAUUAUAAAGCCAUGAAAGAUAGUGCAAUUGAUGUUUAAGUUAUCCAAAUGAAUAUUGAACUACUGUAUAGAGUCUUAGACUCUAUUAGUACCCGAUAAAGUUGUCGAUAGACCGGCAUGGUUCAGAAAUUGAUCUGGACAUAGAUAAUUUAGUUAGUUAACUGUUUAUUUGUGAUUCAAUGGUGGUUAAGGUUAUGUAACAAUGCGAUUAGGAAUGUGUUGAUGUUUGUUUGUGAAACCAUGAUUGUUGAACAUGUGUGAUAAGGUGAUUAGGUUAUGUGCUGACUGCAAUAGGCAGUGUUAUGUGUUACGUUAUGAUAUACUAAUCAGUAAAAUGAUUUGAUUAAUGAUAGGUCGUGAUAGAAAAGAUAAAUCUAAGUUGCGUAAGUGUAAGCAGCGCAUCAGGCAAGUAUCCUAACUUUGCAUUUUCUUUAUGCAAUGGACAAGUGUAAGAAUGUUUCAAAAUUAUAUUAUUAUUAUUAAUGUACAGAUUGUUAAAGCUAUAUUAUAUAAGCCCAUUGAUUAUCAACAUGUUAGUAUAUGAUAAUUCGGAUAAAUAUAUUCUGUUCGUUAAUUUCUAUAAAUGAUUAUACAAGUGUCCCCACUUGGAUAAUCAUUGUAUUUAAUCGCAUGUUGAUACACCUUUGAUAUACAUAUAUGUUGAAUUAUAUAAGACCUUUGUUAUGAAAACCCGACAGAAAUGAACAUCCCGAUAAUGGGAAAAUUUUUAUGCGCUACGGCGGACAAAGGAUGAACGAUAAUAUCGUUCUAGCAAUGUAGUAUUGAUCAAUACAGGGCCCAUGGACUGUACACCCUCAGGCCCGUAAGCAAUGCCGGUUUACAGAUGAAUUUCUGUUUAACCUUUUCGAAAAUGAAAACAAUGUUCAUGAUAUGUCACAGAAACCUUAUAAAUAGACAAUACACAGUUUCAAAAACUUGAACGAGGGUUGUUAUGCUAUUAUUAUUGGUACAGAUUACUUCACAACUACUGACUGGUUGUAGAAGAAUAUUAUAAAGAAAACAUUUAAAUUCUUUCAGCUUAUAUAUAUAUAAUACUUGCUGGGCACUCAAAUGCUCAUCCUUGCUUAAUUUAAAUGUUUUCAGCUAAGUAUGAAAAGCUAGAAGGCUCGGCCAGGAACAAGUGAAAAGGAAAGCAAACAGAAUAUGUUAUUGGUAUCAUUUGUAAUAGAUAGAUUGUAUUAAGAUAUUGAUAUGUAUUAUAUAUCAUGUAAAGAAUGUAGUAAAGGUUGCGUACUUGGGAUUAGACUCUGAUAAAUGUAAGUUAAGUUUAUAAUUUAUAUUAUUGUUAUUAUUAUUAGUAUUAUUCCGCUCAUAGAAAUGGUAUCGUAAAGUACCGAGUUUGGGUUUCAAGUAUCCGGAUUCGGGGACUCUACAUCAUGGUAUCAGAGCUAUAGGGUUAGAAACCUUAGGUGGGUUAGACCUUAGGCUAUAACCUUAGAACAGGGGGAAACGUUGAAAAUAUAAAUAACUCAUAUAGAGUUUAAAAAGGAGAUGAAUUGAAUAAAUUCAUUAUCAAACAAAAUAAAAGAUAACUUAUAAAACUAUUAUGUGCUGUGUGUAUUAAUUAUUUGCUAGUUAAGAUAAUUUUGUGUGUAGGUGUUUGAAAGGAAUAGAAUUAGGAUACCCUUAAGUCGUAAAGAAUAAGUCGACAUCCAUGACCGAGCCAAUAUCAAAGCCAAUAGCUGCAAUAGAGGCUCACAUUGAAAGCUACCUCAAAGAGGUGGUUAUUUUGGAAAGUAUAGUACUGGAUCAAGAAACGCUAAGUGUAACUGAUAGGUAAAGUAUGGUUAAGGUAUAAAUGGUCAAUGUUGAGUUCUUAAACUCAUAUGUCUGUGAUGAGUUCUUAAACUCAUAAGGUGUUGAAAGUUGUGACAAACUUGAUACAGUUAUGUGUGAAUGGAUAUUGAGGAUAAUAGGAAUAGAUAGGUUACUAAGUAAUUGAUCGUUAGUGAAGGUGUAAGGAAUAGGUAGUGUUAGUAUUAGUUGAAUAUGUAUAAUUUUAGGUGGUGUAUAUGAUAGGUAUGUUGGUAUAAUGUAAUAUUUUGUAUAAGUUAUGGCAGCUAUUCCUGACUUCCGAGUCACAAAGGGAUAGCGGAUGUUAAAGCAAUAUGUGCUAUGGUAUGGCAAGUGCUAUGAAUAUGGAUUUAUGUUGGAUUAAUGAAGUAAGU
rnacentral:lncRNA from 1 species